rnacentral:lncRNA from 1 species
UUUAUUAAAUCACUUCACCAGCAUAUAAUUUUUCACCAAAAAAAAAAGAAGCAAUGAUAAAUUACUUUCCAAAAAUUUGUUGUUUUCUAAUUCCCCUUCGUUUAUUAUCUUGAAUCGGCUUUUCUGUUCAUAUAAAUAUAUAAAUGUAUACUAAAAUUUGUUAUUCGCACAAAAGAGAGAUUGCCGAGAUAUUUCUCACGUUUUUUUUUAAAAAAAAAAGGGAAAAAAUGCUUCACUCAUUGAACUAAUAUCAUUGUACAAAAUUAAAAUUGAACAAUAAAUUUUUAAAAUUUUAGAACAGGUAACACUGUCUAGGCAUUACAAAACUACAGGGCCUGUUUGUAUUGUGUCUAGUGAUAGGCCCGGAUCGGCCCACGUACACAGAAACGGGCCUGGGUUGGGCCAAACUCGGGCUCGCAAAAGCCCAUCCAAUUUGGGCGUAUCGAAUGUGGUGUGUUGGUACACGAGGUGCAGGGAAUAAUUUUCUCAGUUUACAGCUCAUGAUAAGAAUGGUAUGCGAGAUGAGACAUCCUUGUCCAUUAGGGAGGGUGCAGAGGCUUAGAAUUUAAGCUUUUUCUCCAAAAAAAAUAAAAAAUAAAAAAUAGUAGAAUUAUAUGGACCUUGCAACUAUAUUUUUUAAUGGAAAAGUCACAGGGUUAUUCCCUAAGACAUUGAAGCUAACAUAUAUUAAUAUGCAAAUUAAAUUGUGUUCGUAUAUGGUUCCUUCUCUCUCUCUCUCAGUGUAGUAAAUUUUAUGAUGUAAACGUAUAAACAUGCUCUAUUAUUAUAUAUGACAUCACAAUGCGGACCUAAAUGAAAAAAAAAAAUCUAGGAAAAAUUAAGAGAUUGUUAAUUACCUUAUUGAAUAUCUGGAGAGAUCAUGCUGAAUAUGCAUGAGUUAUAAUUGUUUUUUUUUAUUAUUAUUAAAUACCUGUGCCUUAUGAUCCACUGAUACAAAUGAAGUAUGAAAAAGUUUGUGAACUUGUACAUGCUGCAAGAAUAAACCAACUAAUAAAACUUAGGACACUAGAUGUUAUAAUCAUGGCCUAUAAAUGUUAGAACAGAUGAGUGAUUACUAAUUUGCUAUCAAUUACAUAAUUAGUGAUGUUUCUUUCAACCUUGUUAAGAUCCAUGGAUGUUUUCACUUAUCUACCAUGAAAUUCAUAUCCUACCAAACGAAGCUGAGACAUUGCACCUUAAUCCCACUCUCCAUUUAUUUGAUCCCCCACCUCAAACACCAACAUAGGUGGCCAAAAAGGAAUAAAAAACAGCUUCUUGCACCAGCACUUUCAUUUGCUGGAGCUGUGAAUCUCUGUGUGUGUGUCUCUGAAGCAUGCCUACACCAACUGUUGGAAGACAUGCAUUUGAGGGAAGCGCGAGCCGCCGCGGAGCCGAGAGGCGGGUGCAAUCCAAAAGCCCAAAGCAUCUACAAAGGGUGUACCCAGUGGGCAUUCACAGGAGCAGCUCAAAUCUCUCUCUCUCAUCCCUAUCUCUGUCCCAGAAUUCAAAUGACUCUUCUGUCAAUAGCUCUAUCUUGAGCUGGGAUAGAAAGGUGGCCUCAUCUUUCCAUAGUAUUUUUGGCAACUGGGAAAGGAGGGGGCUCUCAAAUGGGUGUUUAGAGAAGGGCAAGUUGGGAACUGGAGAGGCUGUGUCAUUAGAGAGGACUGAGGAAAUUGUGGAUGAUGAUCUUGUGAGCCAGGAAUGGGUGUGUGGGGAUUCUGGGAGCUUGAACAGGUGCAGUUGGAUAACUAAAUUCAGUGGUAAGUCACUGCAUAUAUAGUUAUCAGGUAGCUUGAAUUUCUAAUUUCAUACAUCUAAGAACAGUAAGAAGUUACAAAGUGUAGUGUCUGUGCUGGCAUGCUGUAACAUACUCGUAUGCUGUCGCGAAUUUGGUUGAUUCAGAGAACUGUUCAAAGAGCAACAAGACAACUCAAUGUAAUGUUUUCGGCGAAUCAACGAAACUAACAGUCAGUUACAUGAUGCAGAUGAAGUUUACGUCUCGUUCCACGACGAAUGUUGGGGCGUCCCGAUUUACAACGAUAGGUGAGCUAGCAUAGCUUUUCGCAUGCCUUCCCUGUGAUUGGUUAUAAUUUUCAAUAUCAAUUUUAUCUGCUAAUUUUUAAUCUGCUUAAUGGCCUUUUAGCCGACUCUUCGAGUUACUUGCAUUUUCCGGCAUGCUCAUUGAUCAUAACUGGACCGAAAUUCUCAAGAGAAGGGAGCUGUACAGGUCUGUUCGCUAACAAUUUCGAGGAACUCUUAAAGUCUCCUGUAUUAUUACACAACUACUUCAACAUGAUUGAGUGUACUAACUACCACAAUUUAACAAUUGUAGGGAAGCGUUUGCGAGAUUCGACCACAACAUGGUCGCGAAAAUGGAGGAGAAUGACAUCAUGGAGAUAAGCUCCAAUAAGGAGCUCAUGUUAGCAGAGUGUAGGGUGAGAUGCAUUGUGGACAAUGCAAAGUGCAUUCAAAAGGCAAGUGUUCUACUUACAUGUGCAAAUACACAUUAGAAUGUAGCUUUUCUAUAUAUAUAUAUUUUUUUCACCAAAUUAUUUCCUUACAUAGGUUGCUAGGGAAUUUGGAUCAUUCAGUGGCUACAUAUGGGGCCAUGUAAACCACAAGCCUAUGGUUAGCAAAUUCAGGCACCCAAGAAGUGUCCCCUUUAGGACUCCGAAAUCGGAAGCAAUUAGCAAGGACUUGGUGAGGAGGGGGUUCCGGUUGGUCGGGCCGGUAAUUGUGUACUCUUUCAUGCAGGCCGCGGGGAUGGCCAUCGAUCACCUCGUCGACUGCUUCCGGUUCAGCGAGUGUGUUCGGCUCGCAGAGAGAUCAUGGGGCAUGACAAAUGUUGCUAUGUAGUAGUGUUGUAACACAUUUCUCUGCUAAAAACUGGGGAUCUGCAUCAAUAUACAGUUUUGUGGAUAAACAGAUAUGGAAUGUGAUGUAAAUUUUGGAGUUUUGGCUAAAUAUUCAUGUCUUGUGGUAGUUUGACUUGACAAAAUGGAAGUUUUCCAUUUCCUUUUUCGCUUUGUUCUCUUUCAGAGUUAGUAAGUCAUAAAAUAUUGUAUAAGAAAUCAUGACUGUCGCAAAUAAUUUUCCAUCAAAGAGGAUCAGUAACUUUCAAAUUUGUUUCACUAUUUAUGUUCUGAUUGUUAUACUUAAUCUUUCAGGCACCGUUUGGUUUGGGAAUAGGGAUAGGGAUAGGCCCUUAUCCCCCCCUUUAUACCCAAACGCUAAUUUUUUACCCGAGAAUAGUAGUUCUCGGUUAUCUCCACCAACACCUCUAUUUUCUAUAUAAAACUUUCUAAUAUUUUUCUUAUGCUCGGGAACAACCCAAUUUUCAUCCAAACGCUAUUUUUCUUAUCCUCAUACUUGUACCUAUCCCUAUAAUAGCUAGUUCUUGCUUAUACCCGAACCAAACGGUACCUCAGUGAACGUUCAAAUUACGUCCGAAUCAAGUUAUAUUGAAAUUACAUUCAAUGAAUUGCUAGGAAAUUCCCUUGCCAAAUUGAUUGAGAGAGACUGAGGGGGGUGUUUUAGCAACUUCGAUUGAGAAAACACCAAGCGAAUAAUAUUACUACGGGGACCAGCACAAGCAUUAGAAAUUUUCUGUGCACGGAUAUGUCGGGAUAUACACUCGAAUCCGCAACCGGCCGCAUGAUUUUGUUUGCGCAAGUAACCAAAUUUGAAAAAGUUUCUCCACAGCAACGAAUCUCUAAUCAUCAUGAUGAUAAAAAGAACAUUGUAUCCAUCACAUGACGAUGCCUUAUCUUAAAAUUUUUUGUUGCUAAAUUUGUGACGGACAAAAGCUGCUUCAACUGAAACAGACAUAUCACCUACCCACUGCGGAUAAGGAACAGAGCACAAUAGCACAUUAUGUAGAAGACUCGCGAACUUCAAUGCCCACAGAAACCAAAAAUGGUUGCACAGUACGUCAGGAUAUUCAUUUAAGGUAAUUAUUUCCAUUCGAAGUUUUCGCUUAAUUUAAGAAUUAACGAGCAUCCUAAAGAUUAUGAUCUACCAACAAUUUAGAACGCUUACGUAGUAUCAUUCGGAAGAGUAUAGCUGUUGCAAACUCUAAACAAGUGCUUAGCAUAUAGACUUACGCUGCGACAUCCGGAUAGACUUACGCUGCGACAUCCAGAGGAACGAGGAAAAAGACGCCGACGUACACAACAUCGAACAUUUAUUGCGAAAAGCUGAAGGCAUAAUAAGGAGAAAGGGAAAAAAGAAGGUCAUCACACUUACCUCCUUCAAAGUUAACCUGAUAUCUAUCUUAUCUAGCGAGAGACGCAGAAAUAUAUACAAAACCGCACAACCGCAUUGCAACUCCAUUUUAAACAUCGAUCACUCUCUCCCGAGGUACCCAGAAGCCGAGAUGGUCUUAUUCUCAAACCCCGCCGCCACUCAUUCUUUACACCUACAGACAAACAUCACAACAUACUCUUGAUCUAAUAUUCCUAUAAUAUCUCUCAAAACUGGCAGGAAGUGCCCAGCCUCUGCCUCUGCCUCUGACCGGCGGGCCCCGACUUUCGGCCCCGGAAAGCCCCGGGAAGCAGCUCCUGGAACUUCUCGAGAAAUGCAGCCCAUUCAUCCUCGAGCAUGUCCGCCAACUUCACAAAACUCGCACUUGGCGGUAACUGCUCGUUAGCACUUCUCCUGUUCCCGCUCAGAAAACCACUUCCGCCACCACUUCCACCGCCGCUGUUGUUAGGUUUACUAGUAGUAUCUAUACCCUUGUUAAAACCACUCAGAUACCGCUGAGUUUUCUCUACCAGGCUAAUCCCCUUCAGUGAAGUCGAAAUCUUCGAAACAUUAGAGCCAAAAUGAUUAACCGGCUUGAAGUGAGUAAUCUCUUCCACAUUACUCUCUUCAUAGCCCUCAUUUUCUUCUUCUUCCUCUUCUUCCUCCUCUAUGCUCUCAUCUAAUUUUGAAAGUGGGUUUCUGGAAUUACCCCCCUUAAACCCAAAAUUGUAAGAUGGAGUUUUAGGGGUCACCGGAUCUUCUUCACAGUCAAUAUCAAAUAGGACAGCAUCAUCGUCACCCGAAUAAUCAGAUUCCGGAUGGAGGAUUUCUCUUUCUGCCACCAAUCUCCUAGCCUCAAUACAAACGAGUUCCAGCUCGCUUGGCUCUUCUUCCCUUCCAGUGAACUCCCUGGUCAUCAUCUCACCAAUUUCUGCAAGGCAAAGGCCGAAUGAUGCAGCCUCCUUGAGAAAGAUCGUGGACAGGACUAAAACCCUAAGGCAAGCUUUACGGAUCACAGGUAGUUCCAUACGAAGCAUUUCGGAGUCUUUUAUUGGAUCUAACUUGGCAAUAUACUCAAGCUCGUCCUCGGAGAAAGGAAUAGAUGCUUGCGGCCAAUGGAUCCAUUCAAAAUAAGGAUCCUCUAAACUCUCUGGGAGGCAGAGACCAUGAUCAAUUGGAAUCAGCUCAGUCUGAACCCCAAACUGGCCCGACCCACUGUUGAUCUUUCUCACUAGAAGGUUCCCAGCAUGCCUGUCCGUGUUGAAGAUUCUCACAUCGAGUAUCCCGAUCCGGUGCACGGCAGAAACAGGAAAGCUCGAAGUUCCAUGGUCGCUGGCAUCAUAGUCAUGACGAAUGAACUGCUGGAACGAUGCGAUCUUGCUAACAGCUCGUGGCUUUCUUUCAUGAACUCUAUUAGUAUUAUUUUUACCAUCAACACCUUCAUUAACAUGGAACACACAGUGAGUAAUCUUGACCAAUACAGUGGGAGGAACAUUGGCAAAGUGGUCAUGGUCGAGGAGGUACGCAGCAACUUCACGAAACCCUGUAUCCCCAACUCGCACUGAUCUUUUAAGGCCCGGCUGCCCAAGAGUUUUUCCAAUAAAUCCUUUCGGGUUGUUAGGUGCAAAUGGCUCCUCAUCAGUUGGCUUAACUAUGGCGACACUCUCCCCCCUGCUAUUCCUGAAGUAGUAUGCACCCCCCAGGCCACUGUGAACGGGUAUUGGGUCGACACCACUUCUGAUUGCUUUUACAACAUCCUUAACGAGGGGCUUCAUCUUGGAGAAGUGGCUCGAGCACCCCAGGAUUUCAAUCGGACCACUCCGAUCUCUCUGCUGGAGGUCCUUCCCUGUAGGUGAGAGGCAGGGGGUGGAGGAACUCCUAUGCAAGAAAUUCCUGGUGAGCAGCAACGGGGAGUCAUUGCGGAUGUCGCUGAGAUCAUUCUUGAGGACACGGUCGCCGUACGUAAGUGCGCUCUCUCCGGUGGGUACAUUAAGGGCUAUCUGCAAUUUCCUUUUAACAGUGUGGGCAUUGUCUCCACGGUCUAAUUCGAUGCCCAACACACAGCCGGUAUCAGUUUGGACAAAUACGCGUUUCCAACUAGCAGGUCUUCCCUCGCUCUUGUUCUUGCCGUGAUAUUCGCUGCUGAAGGAGUGGUUCAAAACUUCGACAGCCAUCUGUGUCUGAACAGGGCUAUCCAAGUUAGGAGACAUGGAACAGAAGAGCUGAGGAAGUGAGGUCGGCAAAAACGAUGGGCAAAGGCAGAGAAGAAGCACUUCUUCCUUCUCCUCUUUCUCAAGUGAAGAUCGGGCACUGAUGUAGGUGCAGAUAUAUAGAGAGGAAGAUGUGGAGCGCAAUCGAUCAUGAAAUUAGUAAAUUCGUAUUGAAUUCCCAACCGCCAAUCUCACAAUGGGAGCAAGAGAGAGCACGAUGUUCAAUGAGGAGGAGGAUGAAGAUGUCUCACCCUCCUCACAUUGAGAGAGCCAUCAUGUCACGCGGCAAGGGUAAGAAGAAUCAAAUCCUGCCCAAGAGACGGUCAAUGGUUAGCUUGAUAAUCUGAUGAAAUAGAUGAUAAAACAUUAAGCUCCCAUAAGAUAAAUUAAUCUCAAGAACAAAUGAAAACAUACCAACAAUCAAUGAACAAAAGAAACUGGUUUUGCUUCCAUAAAAAGGAAGAAUGCUAUUAAUGGCUCUCUCUCUCUCUCUCUCUCUCUGUUAAAAAGGUACUUCAAUCCACCAGAGGGAGGAAAUGAUUACUAGUAUUGGGGAUGAGAAAGGAAAUUUAACUUAAUCGCUCAGGAAAACUCCACUACAGCGUUUUUCUUAAUAUUCAGUAAAUUUAUCAAAUCAGAGUGAGAAAUAGAAGUCGAGACCACUGUUCACAAAAUAAUAGCGGGACUAUUAAGAGAAAAUAUCACUACACGCCAAUGAGCAUGAUGUGUCCCUCGGAUCGUGUUCUUUUUUCACUAACAUUCCUUCACUUCACAGAUCAACAUAGCAUAGGAAAUCGAAGAUGCAGAGGAAAUAAGGCGUGAAUAACAGAUAAAAUUAUCGUAAUAGUAAAGAAAAAAAUCCUCAGAAUUAGCACCGAAAACAAAUUAAACUACAGAGAUCUCGAAGCCCCCCAAAACCGAAUCCACCACAAGAGAACAAAUAGUAGUCGGAUCAAAAUGAAAACCCUCGCAUUUCCAUCGACAAAUCAAAUCAACCUAAGGAACGACGACAUAAUCAAAAGCAAAACCACGGGAACUCCAAAAUCCACUUAAAAUCAAGAUCUAGAACAAAGCAUUACGCAAAGAUUUCUCAGAGAACUCGUACUCUAGAAUGGAUUCCGAAGAGAAAAACGCAAAGCGUUCGAUCGAUAGAGGAGAUCGGGAGGAGUCGAUGGCAUCGAACUCACCAGCGGCGUAGAUCCGGUGGUGGCGGCAGCCCAAGCUCGAGAGGGACCGAGAACGCCGAGCGCCGAUUCCUACGCCCUUGGCGCGACGGCGACGGGGACGGCGACGGCGACGGCGACCGGGACCGGCGACCAACGACCAGCGGCGAUGCUCCGAUCACCGGCACGAUCGUAUGGCGGAGAUUCCACUGCGCAAUCGAGGAUCGGAUCCCUCCAAACCCUAGCGCUCUCCCUCUCCCUCUCCCUCUCCACACUCCGCUCCCUACGGAGGCAACCUCGCUCUCCCCUCCCAAUUAGCCGUUCACCCUGAGCGACAGGAGACGGGUUAAAAAACUAACCGUGGUUAAGAAGAUCCGAGUUUCUCAUUUUUAUAGCCCGAAAUAUUUGCAGGAAAACCCUCUACGUUUACGUAAAUUUUAUAUCUCAGGUCAAAUUUGUGGCAAAUAAUAAUACUUUUUGCAAAAACCGCCAAAACUAUUUUAUAUUUGCCUUUUGGUCUGACAUGUGGACCAUAGGCGACGUCAGGGGUCCAAUAAGAAUCGAGUAAGUAGUCAAAAUUCAUACCACUAAUAUUAAGGGCGGAAAAAGCAGAAUUUUUGCAAAUUAUUUUUAAUAAUGUUAAUUAGCGGGGUGUUUAUGCAAAACUUUUUAAUUUGUUAUCCUUGUACAUCAAGUCACAGUGUUCAUCCCCCCCCUCACCAACGUUGGAUCGGAAGGCUCUGGAAGGACGAAUACGCACCGUCGGAUCGGGUUAUUAGGGAGGCAACAUGGACGAAUACCCACCGUCGGAUGGGGCCACAUACUCCGUACGGGGAGAACGUGAUCGACGAUGACGUGGUGGGCGGUGAUUGGCUCGUACCCGGUGAGGUUACCGCCCCCAAAGAAACGAAUUUCCCCUUCAUUAUUUGGCUUCCCUGUUGCCGGCGCGUGAGCGGCAGCGAUUGGUCGACGCGGUAUACGAACCAAUCCCCGAUCUCCAUCCCAAUUUCCCCAAAAUACCCAUGCUACUUUUCCUUAAUUACGAAACUGCCACGCUGCUUUAGUUUUACAUUUAAGACCCUUAUUUUUUUAAAAAAAAUUUACUCAAUUUCCCAUAUUAUAUUUUUGUUUAACAUUAACAAAAUUAUUGCUUCUACAUCUCUAUGUACAUGCACCAUAUCUAAUCUAUUUUUGUGAUUGCUAAUAAAGCCGUGCGAUUAAUCCACAACCUCAAAUGUCGAAUUUAAAACUUUGAAUGUCAAAAAAAUAAAAUUUAUCAGGAGCAAGUAGAAUUACAAGGCUAAUACGGUCAUUUCAUACUCUUUUGUCGUUUUGUGGCUCGAGCCCCCGUACAUAUCACGUUACUCUAUUACUCUAUUAAGCACCUGUAGUUAGUAAGUAACGUUUCCGGGCUCGACAUUGACGCAAUAGGCAAGGUCAUUUUGGGAAUAAAAAUAAAACCCAAUACAUCGCUCAUCAAUCAAAACGAUCUCAACCGUCCAAUGAGCUACACAAGUUAAUUUCCGUGUGGGGCCCGGACUUGAGAUGGUAACAGAGUUGGAUUGAAUUAAAACUUCGAGCACACGUUAAAAUCGACCUUUAUGGAAAAGAGUAGCGAAGUGGGGGACCCAUUAACAUUAAUACGGUAUUAUUGUGAUUGUAAAUGGUUUAGUAGCUUACGUGGACGGAUUAGAUUAAAGAAUAGGAAAGAAAUAAUUAAGUUGGGGGGUUUAUGUGCGUUAUUAUCGUGAUUAGCGAAGGUGCUUAUCACGCUAAAUGCAUAAUAUUUUUUAUCCUCAAAUUUUAAUUUAGUAUAAUUUUGAAUAUCAGCCUAUCGUUAAUGUAAUUAGUGUGACCGUAUAGUAUCAAUGAUACGUUAAUAUUUAAUUUUUAAAAUUUUAAUUAUAAUACUUAUAGAAUUUAAAUUAAAAAUUAUAAUAAAUAAAAAUUAAGAACUAAAAUGUGAUCCGCGGCACGAGGGCUCACCUGGACGUGGCUCCCACAAUGCGCACGGAUCCCGGAGCAAAGCAUUUAUUUAAUUUAAUAUAAAAUGGAAAAAUUGUAACGAAAUGAAAUUUUGAUAUGGUAAGAUUUUUUUUUUUAAUUUUAUUUACUUAGCUAAUCAAUGUGGCCAUGUAUACCUUUCAAAGAAUAUUUAAUGCUACACAUUAAUGGUAAUGGACAUUAAUAAGGGCGGUUUUAUAUGUUACCAAGCAAAUUCAUUGUAUCUAGUUAUGAAUUAUAUUGUCUUUUUCUAAAAUAAUAAAUAAGUAAUAGAAAUUCUACCGACCGUCUCUAAAAUAAGUGGCAAAGGGCUUAGUGGUUGGUACCCGAGAUCCAAGUUCGAAUCCUAGUUGAUUCACAUUUCUAGCUAAGUUUAUUUCUAAACGAAAUAAACGAAGCGGGUAGUGUGCUACCUAUUUCUCAAAAAAAAAAAAUGUGAUAAAAAUUCUGUAUAUCAAAUUUUUAUAUAUGAACAUAAAAUUUUUUGUAUAUUCUCAUAAAAUAUAUUUUAAAAAACACAUCAGAAUAACUAAUGUAAAAUAAAAUAUAAUAUAUUUUAUUUACUGACUAUCUCUAGCGUAAAUGAUAAAGAAUUUGACAAUUAAAAUUCAAAAUUUUAAAUUUAAAUUCUAAUUGAUUUAUAUUUUUAACUAAAUUUAUUUUUUUUAAAAAAUAAAGAUAACAUACUAUUUUUUUAAAAUAUAUAUAUUUUUUAUUUGAUCCAUAAAGAUGAUAAUGCAUGAAAAGCAGGUCUACAAGUACAAAUAUAAUUGAAAAUGAGAAGUGACAAUUCAUCAGGAACAGUGAAGAAUCGGUUGGCCCAGGAAUAAAUUCAAAGAGAGAACAGGAUCAGGAAUGGUGUUAAGUGGAGUGCAUUUAGGUUCAUUAAUUAAUAAAUGAAGGUGCCAUUUUGUUCACAACGAAGGACUUUGGAGGGACAAGUUAUCCCCUUCGUAUGACACCAAAAUGUCAGGUACCAUCCUACAUCUUAGCCUCGUUGGCAUCUUCUCUCGACAUACUUACAGAAUAUUUAUAAAAACAGUAAAUAUUGCAGCAAACAUCUACAUCAGGAAUCAACUUAAAUCUUAGCGCAGAAAAAAAAAAAAAAGUAAAAAUAAAAUUACAGCAGAAGAAAUUAAGCCCAAAUCCUUGAUGAUAUAUAAAUUGGUAAUUGUAAUUGUAAUCGUUGACGCUAAUAAUUAAUUUUAAAAACUCGAGCUGUUAUAAAUAUACAACAAAUUUACUUAAAGUGUGCAGACACAACUCUAAUAAAUCUUGAUUAUGACUCAGCUUAAUCAGUCUCACGUCAUUUCGAACAUGACUCAAUGCAACCAAAUCUUCCGUCACAGGGCAGGAUGAUAGUUCCUUUAAACCAAUAAUCCCUUCUCCAGAAUUUACAUAAAUUCGUAGCAUGCAGGAAUUGAACCCAUGGCCUCUUGGCCUCUGACUAUGAUACAAUUUGUUGGAUCGUUGGCGCUAAUCACUAAUCCCAAAAGCUCGAAGUGUUAGAAAUACGCAACUAAUUUACUUAAAGCUUAUAGACACAGUGCCCAUGGGUUUUGACUGUAGCUCAGCCCAACCAGCCUCGUGCUACUUCGAGUAUGAUUCGGCCUAACUCAGCCUCACGUCAUUUCGAACGUAACUCAACUCAACGCGACCUCCCACCAUAACAUAGGAUGCUGGUCCCUUUAAGUCAACAGAUUUAAAGAAUGUUAUAAUAUGUUUAGGAUUGAGAAAUUAAGUAUGGUUUAGGGUGAGAAUAACAACUAUUAACCACGAAUUAUGCUUACUCUUUCUUGUAAAAAUAAUAAAAAUAUAAGAAAUUUGUGAGGCAUUGUUGGUGGUUGGGUGAAACCUAUGUCCAUGGAAGGAGACUGGUAAUUGCCUCAGCCACACAAUUGGUCUUACUUGGUUGCUAACCUAUAAGUUAGCUGUUGGAUUUAUCCCAUUUAUGCCUUCAUCAUAUUUCAAACAUAAGUUUUAGUUUCAGUUCCCAAAUUCUUUUAUACUAUUAAGAAUAUUAGUCUCAUAUUAGAUAAUAAUAAAAUCCUAUUUUGUAUAUAAUAUGACGGCCGAAUUCCGCCAUUCAUCUGUAUAGCUAAAAUACACAUAUAUUUCUCUUUAGCCUUUGACAAAAGAAUUAAGUUUCAAACUUGUGUAAGCAUUCAAUUUGUUUAAUCCUUUUCAUUGGAUCACAUUAGAAAGACCAGAAAAAGGCUCCUACAUAUACAAGUGUUGCGUAUAUUGAGAGAGAGAGUUAGGCCGGAAUACUAUUGAUAGUAAAAGUUUUUUGUUACUAUCAAAUUUUUGGCUUUUGGAUGAAAAAUUAUAGGAUUAGAAUGAUAUUAGCCCUUAGGGUUGAGUGGUCCACCUAAGAUUGAGUUGUCCCCCUAAGAUUGAGUGGUCUUCACUGGAUUAUAAUAUUUAAUCCAAUUGUUAGAAAUGAUUAAAAGAAUUGAUCGAAAAACUAAAAAAUUGAUAGCAAAAAAGGAUUUUUGCUAUCAAUAGUAUUUUAGCCCAACUCUAUAUAUAUAUAUAUAUGGACUAGUCUAGUACAGAAGAUAAUCAUAAUGGCGGUAAUUUUUUCGACAUAGUAUGAUCUAGCUAAACAAAAGUAAACUUAAAUAAGAUUUAAAAGGACUAAUGAUCAUGUAAUAUACCAAUUUAAUUAUGCAAUAUUCUUUCUAGAUGCCUAUAUAAGCUGCAAUUAUUUCAAAUGACACAAGGAAAUGUGUUUAUGUACUAAAAAGGAAGCUCCACUAGUUGUCAUAAUGAGAUAGGGAGCACAAGUGCCAUGAAGCAAUGACAUAGUCAAGAAACAAUACAAAAGCUUUAGUUGCCAACAAAAUGUUUGUUUGUUUGUUUUUUGUUUUUUUUGUGUGUGUGUGUGUGUGGAGGGGUUUGGAUAUUUCCAUUAAAAACAAAGGUGAUCACUUCACAUUGCUUAGUGAUCAAAUUAUAAUAUAAGGAAUUAAUAAACAAAUAUUUAAUAAACAACUUCAUUGUCAAAGUGCCUUGAUCAAGGUGCAUGAACUGGAAUAACAAAGACACAAGUAGUGAGUGGCCACCAAGUGCUUAGAUUCUUCGUUCAAGUUUUAAUUUAUUGUGUGUCUUAUUAUAUAUGGAUAGAUCGAUCAUCAAGUUAGUGUAUAAAAACAACACAUUAAAAUGCAAAGGAUAAUUAAUUAGAAGAUCAACAAUUAAACGAAGAUCAUUUCUUAUGGUUGCUCGAUGCUGGAAUAUUUUAUUAAAUUAUUCGCGAGAAUUCGUGGCAAAAUCCUCGCCAAAGAAUACUUCGUUCGUCGCUGCUCAUGCUUAUCGGGCAAAAUUAACACAACUGUGCAUAUAAAAUGCAUUUCGAGUCAUUUUAAAUGUAUAAAUAUCUUGUUCAACAUCUUUUAUUGACUACAGAGUAUUGAGGAGUAUGUAAAGAUAUUUGUUUCAACUAAGAAAAGAAAAAAAAAAAAUUGCAAUCACUUGGUAUAUAUGGCCUGCAAACUGUUUUUAUUAAAUCAUAAAAAUUUACUCCAUUUGUGUAAAAUGAUGAUGUGUCAAUUGAACGAGUAAAUAAAAUCGAUUUGAAAAGAAUUACUCUGCUAAUUUGCUGAAGUGAAUUAAACUACUGAAAAAUACUCUAAAAACUACAAAUUCGCAUAGAUGCUAGUAUCUCAUGAAUCAUUCGAUCAAUUUUCCUCUUCUCAAAAGAAAAGUUUCAGAAUCCGAAUUUGAAAACCAGAAUUCAACAAUUAUAUUUAUGAUCAGAUAAUUUUGGGGGUAAUUUUUGUUCAUAGCAUUGACAAGUGAAAUGAACAGGUACACGAUAAUUAUUUCUUUUUGCACCCAAUUUGAUCCGACAAUGUCACUGCUACACUUGUUAUUAGGAACAAUUUUUUAUUUAAUUUUGCUUUUUAAUUUCAUAUUUUAAUUUCUUUUAUUUAAAUUAUUUUUUAUUAGAUUUAAAUUUAAAGAUAAAAGAAAGCGUCAAUAGGGGGGGUAAAUGUUGAGGGAGUAAUUUGAGAAUUUACAUAGUUGAGGGGUUUAUAAGCAUUCUUUUUUUUUCUUUUAAUUUUUUAAAAUUUGUUGUCGGUGCCCUUUGCUCCUCAGGAUAAUAUCAUCCGUCNUAGGAACAAAUUUUUAUUUAAUUUUGCUUUUUAAUUUCAUAUUUUAAUUUCUUUUAUUUAAAUUAUUUUUUAUUAGAUUUAGAUUUAAAGAUAAAAGAAAGCGUCAAUAGGGGGGGGGGAACGUUGAGGGAGUAAUUUGAGAAUUUACAUAGUUGAGGGGUCUAUAAGCAUCCUUUUUUUUCUUUUAAUUUUUUUAAAUUUGUUGUCGGUGCCCUUUGAUCCUCAGGAUAAUAUCAUCCGUCCGUUUGUGGGGACUCGACGGUGGAUAUGAUGCCACGUUUCAGAUAAGCACGGGGUUUCAGGGGGUUCAGGGCGGGGUGGCUCACCAAUCACGUGGGCAACCAUCACGUGGGACCCAAAUAUAAUAUUUAUUGUUUUAUUAACCGUAUAACUGUAGCGCCAGUACUAUUUUGCCACGUGUCACCCCUUUUUUUCCGGGACACCACCUGCUUUUUCCACAUUUCCCGUUUUGCCCUUCUUUUUUUUUUUUUUCCCUUCUCUUACUAAGUUUUUAAAUAGUAUAAGUUUAAAAUAAAAAAAUUACAAACAUUUUGGAAGUAGAGAUCGAAUUUUACAAAUUAGAAUAGCGAAGCUCUGAAAAAAGUUUCUAGAAAAAACUUAAUAAAAUUUUGUUUUUUAUGGGAUUAGUGCAUUUAAGAGUGAUCGGACAAAAUAGGUGAUCUUGGGCAAAAAUUUUUGAAUACUGUGUCCAUAAAAAGCAAUUUGGGGACCCCCGGAUGGCGCGCCGCGUGGCACCGAUGCCAAGUUGAAGCUGGAUUUUUUUUGGGUGCACCCGGUGCACUGGUUUUUUUAAUUUUUUUAAAUUUUUUUAUUAUAAUUUAAUAACAUAUAUAUAUUAUGAUAUUUUAAAAAUAUUUGUAAAAAAAUUCAGAGGGGUUAAAAUUUUUCUACAUAUAUAUUUUUUAAAUAUCGUAAAAUAUAUCUCAAUUAUAUUAAAUUAUAAUAAAAAAAAGCAAAAAGCGGUGCACCGGGUGCACCAAAAAAAACUUGAAUACUCUCCCAAAAGGCCGAGCCUCGCGUCGUCCGAGUGCCACGCGGCGGCCAUCCGGGGCGUCCGAGUGCCACGCGGUGGACAUCCGGAGGUCCCCAAAUUACUUUCUAUGGGCACGAUCCCUAGAAAAUUUUUGCCCAGUGAUAUUGUUUAAGCUAAUACUUGUUGCACUGAAUUUUAGUAAAACUGAUUUUUUUUUUCUUUUAUUGAAUAUUUUUAUUUCAUAAUCAAUUAUUUAUGUUUUCUGCGCCGUUGGAUUUGUUAUAGAUCGACUGCUGAUGGAUACAGAAAGAUAUUUAUUAAAUUGUUGGAUGGGCAAUCUCCUAUUGGGCCACAACCGGGUUACAAGGCUCAUUCUUUGAAAAGUUUUUUUUUUUAGAAAGAAAGAUAGUAUGCUGCUCAUUUUAUUUAUUUUUUAAAAAAAUAAAUUUCGUUGUAAAUGCGAAUCAACUAUAAUUCGAGCUUGUGACCUCAGAUACCAAUCAUCAAACUCUUUGUCAUUUGCACUAGUUACGGUCGGUUCAUUCUUUGAAAAGUUGGGUUCCAUUCUUUGAACAGAUACAUUUAUUUGGUUUAAGUUCCGUUUUUGCCUUUAGUUACCAUCAUCUUGGUGUUAAGUUAUGUGAAAAAAUAAAAACCUCAUACUCUAAUACCAUAUUGAAUUAUAAAAAAUAUUAUUAUUCUCUAAAAUCUUAAGUUAUUAGAGAACGAUGUUGCAACUAUUUAUAUUCAACGCUUUGAACUCCUAAAGUAAAAGAUACCUCAUUGUGACCUAGCCAAACGAUCCAAUAAUCAUCUAAUUUAUGCGUCAGAGUUAAACAUUUUGCAUAAAGUGGUCCACUAAACCUGAUAGAGAUUGGACUCAAUCCGUGUAGAAGUGGUCCACUAAACCUAAUUGGACCAAUCCGACUCGUCCGCGUAGCAUCGGUCAAAUAUACUUAUUUGGAUUUUUAAGCUCAGUGAAUGCUUAAACUUGGGAUUCUUCCUCGAAGCCCAGGUUUCUGACUAUAACUUGAAAAAAGUGAACCAAAUUGUUAUCGAAACAUAAAUCUUGUUACAUUUUUUUGCAUUUGUACGUAAACAUCGAAAUCUAUUGCCAAAUAAACAACAGUAAACUUAAAAAACACAAAAAUUCUAUGCGCACACAAAUGGCGAAUGCGUAUACUUGCGUAGCAUCAUCCAAAUUUUACUUUAUGAGCAGAUGAGAAGUGCUUGGAAGCAGCAACCAUGGCGGCCUCUGGCCCGGCACGUGCCGCCCCUGCUCCCCUCCCUCUACGACCGACUGAAUAUAAUCGCACGAACCACGAUUUUAACGCCGAUAAGAACGGCAUCGAUCGACCGUUCUUAACCCCCAUUUGUCGACGGAUUAACCUAUCUUUGAACUUUGGGAACAAGUAGCCUUGUAUUUUGUAUGUGUUGAAUGGUUAUGCUCAAAUUGUUUUCCUAGUUAUGUUGUGGAGGUUAAUUAGUUUCAACAUGGCCUUUUAUAGUGCACAGAUGUAAUUGAGAUACCUUGUCGACCAAGUUAAAACCCAGAAAUCAAAAUAAAAUAAAACAGGUGUCUCAAUUUAAAUAUCGUAAGUCGUAACCGGACAUAGUGAAAAGGGGUAAAAAGAAAAGGACAAAGAAAAAAAGAAAAAAGAAAAAAGAAAGUGCAGCGAAGGAACAUUUGGAAGAGUAAUUGAAACUUGGUCAAACAUAGGUGUCACUACAACCUGAGAAAAGUCAAAUGGGGAAUCUAGUUAACACUUACUAACGCUAUAAAUUUGACUCAGCCAAAAACUUCCAAAUUUUCCAAUUCCACAGACCACAAUGCCUGUGUUUUAUCUAACUUGAUGACCAAGUUAUCUCAUUUAACUUACACACUAUAUAAAGCCAUGUUGUGACCCAAUGAUUAAUUACUCCACAACUAAAUUCGAGGCACCAUUUGAUCACACAUUCACUAACACAAGCUAGGGAUUGAUAUAGAUUUGGUCUGAUCAAGCGAUGGGGGUUAAGAAGGGCGGAUCAGGGUCGCUGUUAUCGGCGUUUAAUUCGUGGUUUGCGCGCUUAUGUUCAGCUGGUCGGAGAAGGAUGCGAGCGGAGGCGGCACUUGUGGGACCGGAGGCCGCCAUAGUUGCUGCUUCUACACAUUUCUCAUCAGCUUAUAGAGUAAAAUUUGGAUGAUACUAAUUAAGCAUUUGCCACAUUAUGUUUGAAUGCAUUCUAAUUACAAGCACUUGGUAUUUUGUUCACUAAUGAGCAUUUGGCAAUAGGUGUAGGUGGGGUAACAUGUUGUGUAGUUUUUUUUUUACUUUCGUUAUUACUGAAUAAGUUUGUAAUAUAUUAAAUAUAAAAUAUUAAAAUACUGUUCUCCUCCUGCAGUCGGAAAUGCUCUAGAGUUCAUGUUUGGGAGCCUAACGUGACUCGAACUAAGGACUUCUUACUCUGAUACCGUGUGAAACAAUAGUUAUACUCUAAAAGUUUAAACUGUUAGAGAGCGGUGUUUAAUUAUUUAUAUAUUUUUAUAUUUAACGGAAGCACCGUGGCAUGCACGUACGUAAACUGGUUUGGGCCUCUAUUGGGCCGGGCCGAGGUGAAGCAAAUGAGCCCGGAGAAAGAAAUCUAAUUGGGCCGGUACUUUAAAGCCCAGGACGCACGUGUCGGCAUGUUAUUGGGCGACGACUGUUUCGGUAUCGGGACAGGUCGUAACUGAGAUGGGUCACGUGAGGCGCCACGUCACCCCGGCGGUGGCAAAAGGGCGGGGACAGGUCACGUCGCUCGGGCGCGCACAUGCUUCGUCCAUGGUGGGGCCCAUGCGGUUGGGUCACCGACACGUGGCAAGUUUGUCGUUGCCCACGGCUGCUGAGUCCCGGUGUUCCGGUCACCGGUCACGUGAGGGUCCACCACUGGAUCUCACCCGUCCACUCCACGCGUGGCUCCUCAGCGCGACAGGUCAUGUCGCACGGAUCACACCGCGCGCAUAACGUCUAUUCCCUAUUUAUUGAGAUAUAUGAUCUUUCACAUGUGACGUAUUGGAUUUUUAUCCAAUUAACCAUAAAAUAAAAUGCUAAUUUUGUUCAAAUCUAUUUGCUAUUUUAUUGAAUUGUUCAUUUAGGCAGCGUUUGAUUAGGAGAUAGAAAUAAGAAUAGGCCCUUGUCCCUUUUAUAUUCAAACGCUAAUUUUUUAUCCGAAAAUAGUAGUUCUCGGUUAUUCCUACCAACACCUCCAUUUUCUAUAUAAAACUAGCUAAAAUUGUUCUCAUUCUCGGGAACAAUUCAAUUUGCAUCAAACACUAUUUUUCUUAUCCCCAUAUUUGUACCCAUCCUUAUAAUAGCUAGUUCUUGUUCAUACCCGAACCAAAUGGUAUCUUAAAGAUCAAACGAUACAAACAAAACAGAGAAUAUAUUGAGACUAAUCUUAUCUAAUUUUAUCCACAUAAAGCUAAAUAUGAAUAUUUGUUUGAAACAUUUCUUACCUACUUAAUAGAACUCUCAAAAGCUGUUUCGUAUUCAUGCUUCAAACUAAUUAGUUUUUUUUUUUUCUAAAUAUUAAAAUUUUUAAAAGAUUCACUUUAUAAAAUACAGAUAUACUAAACACUUGAUAUAUUUUUAAACUAUUUCUCUCUCUCUAUGCAUGUAUCUAUAUCGGUAGAAAAGAACUUUUAAAUUUUAUAUAGGGUAGUAUAGCUCUUUUUGAGAAACAAGCGUGUAGGCAAGUUUUUUUAAUUUCCAUACAUUACAAUAUAAUAUAGUGACAAGACCUUGGCGAGACAACUAAUAAAUAGCAAAAGUUGAGAUGUAUUAUUGUACGGAUUUAUUAAAAUUUAUCUAAAAAUAAAGUAGGCAGCAAAGAGAAUUCAAAAAAAUAAAAAUAUGUUCAUCGAAAAGAGAAAGAAAGAUCAAAUGUAUAACUCUGGUUAAAUACAAUAAUCGAUAUUCAAAAUUUAAAAAUAAAAAAAAUAAUGUUAUUAAAAUUUUUGCUGAGUUUAUUUUAUAAAAAUAAAUAAUGCGGAUAGUUUGGUAACAAUAAAUAAUGCACUAUUAUUUUUUAUAAAAAAAAGAAGCCAAAAUGGGACACGUAGUAGUGUUUUCCCCUGCACUGGCGCUGAGCGCAUGCCCGGUGUGGGUAGUGGGUCCCACGUCCACGUGACACGUCACCGGGGAAUGGGCGAGCAGGGGGCCUCUGCUUCUCCCCGCACGUGCGCGGUCGCUGUCGCAGCGUUUCGGCGGAAAUAUAUGUUUAUCUCGAACUUAAUUUAUCUGUAUAUAUAUCUAAUUAACUACCAGCUUUAAAUAAAAUAAAUAAUAAUGUGAUUGCCGUUAACGGCGUGAAUCGCCGUCACGAAACGGCGUGGCGUGCCGUUACGUCGCCCCCGCGCGCGCCGCGACGAAACCCACGGCCCCGAGCCGAAACGCGCGGCCCCGCCGCACUCGCGCCACGUGUCGCGUCGCAAUUGGCCGGUACCGCACCCGCGCGUGAGGCGAGGUGCUCCGCCCUCCCUCUCACCUGUCACAUUAGCCACGUAACCCAUUUUUAAGUCAAUUUAUUUUUUUUAUAAUUUAUAAUAAUAAUAAAAUCGCUAUUAAUUUUGCUCUAUUUUAUAAAAUAGAGAAAAACUUCAAAAAUCUUUCUUAUGGUUUCAAUUUUUUUCACUUUAUUAACCUGUGGUUCAAAAUGUAUCAAGUUAAUAUUCUGUGAUUUCUCACUUUAUCACUUUAGUAUCCUGUGAUUUAAAGUGUAUCAAGUUAGUAUCCUGUGAUUUUUUAAACCAUAGGAUACUAAAAUGAUAAAGUGUAAAACCACAGGAUUCUAAAGUGAUAAAGUGCAAAACCACAUGAUACUAACUUGAUACACUUUAAAUCACAGAAUACUAAAGUGAUAAAGUGAGAAACCACUGAGUACUAACUUAAUACACUUUAAACCAUAGGGUACUAAAAUGAAAAAGUGUGAAACCACAUAGGAUUUUUUGAAGUUUUUUCUAUAAAAUAUUAUAAUUUUUCAGAAAAAAAUUAUUUUUACAGUAAUAUACAAAACUAUUAGUUUCCUAUUUUUCUUUUUUUUUUUUUUUUUAAAAAGAGUGGGGCCCAUCCAACCACCCGAAGUGAGUUGGCCACGUGACUCGGGGGGUGGGCCCACCUUUACCUCUCGCGAGUCACGUGAUCUGUGACGAGAUCCGAGACGAAGACAAUGACGCAUCAUCUCAUACUUCGAAAUAUUAAUAAAAAAAAACAAACCAAGAUUAAAAAAAAUAAAUAAAUAAAAUUCACCCACCGAGAUUAACGGAAAAACCUUUCUACUUAUACAAAAUGAUUAUUUACUGAUCCCUAAAUGGAUUCCUUAAUAAAGAGGAGGGAAUGUCCAUGCAACGCAACAAACCACUAAUCACUCGUACCCGUAUUUUUAAUUACCUUACUCUUUGUAUAAUCUUAUUUUAAUCACUCUUUUAUUUUAUGUCUACCGCAAAGGAGCCUUCCUAUCUGUGUUCAUGAACGUGGUGCGACUCUUUCUGUGUAUUGGAAUCUUCAUCUCUGUCGUGCGUUUUAUUUUUUUCUUUGUUGUGCCGCGUGUCUCGUUUUAUUAUCUGUAUCAUUAGCGACGUUAAAAAAGUUAGAUCAUACUUGAUGUUAUUUUAAUGUUCUUAUGAUUAGAUAUAUCUUAGGUGUUAGGAACAUUAGAGUUGUAGGAGUCAUGCGUCUCUAUGAUUAGUAAUAGGGAAUUAAUUAGUUACACUGUAAGAGACUUGGUGAUAUUAAUUGUAAUAGUGUGCAAUUGUUGAGCAUGUUAGAGCACAUGCGAGGCUAUAUAUAUUUAAUGUAGCUUUGGUUUAGGUAUGGAGACAUAUAGAGGUGUUGCAAACAUGUUGGGACCCAAAAAAAUUGAAGGAAAAAAAGGGAGAAUGGGAUGGAAUUAUUAUUAUAUGCAUUGAAAUUGUGUUGUUUCUUUGGGAUGUGAUGGGCAAAAGUAUUGGGUUGUUUGCAUAUAUAUAUAUAUACAUUCAAUCACAGAUGCAUGAGGAUAUGAAACAAAUUUAUAUAAUUGUAAAUGGAUGGUGAGAUUUAAUUAGAAAUGAUUGGUUCUGAGUAUUUGAUCAGAAGAUCACAUUGUCAGAGAUUUACAGCAAAGAGUCAACGAGAUAAUUGUUUUAUUUUCGCAAUAUAAUUUUGUAAAUGAUCAAAUUAAUGUUUGUACCUGGUGCAUGUGUAUCAUAAUUACCUAUAUAAUUAAUUUGAAUAGCAAAAUAACAUGUAUAUGUUUUAUGUUUUUUUUUGUUUUUCCUUUGAGCAAAUAAGUGGAAGAGACAAAGGGAUAUGUGUAAGUAUACCUUAUUUGAGUUAAGAUUUUUAUUUCAAAAUAAACUCUUUCCAACUCUUAAUUUUAGCUGAAGAAAUUAAUUAGUACAAAGCUGCACUAAAAGCACCUUAUCAUGCACUAAUUUCUUAAUGUUAUUUAUUUUACAUUUAUAGCUGAAUUCCUGUAAAUUAAAUUAAAGAGAUGUUUGGCCAUUACAUAUUUAGACAAAAAAAAAAACCAAUUUAUUGAAUAUAAAAUAUUAAUUUAAAUAUAAUUUUUUCGAUUUUAAAAUUUUUAGAGAACAUUGUUCUUUUAUGUGGUAUGAUACAAAAUAUGAGGAAGUUGGAGUCAUUAAUUUAGAUAAUAAAUCUCAUUAAAAUCUUCUCUAAUUUGAAUUUCUUAUACAAUUCAAAAAGGAUAAAUUUUACCUAUGAAGGGAACAAUAAUAUACCAGAAUUAAAUAUACCCUGUUUUUUUCUUAAAAUGUAUAGAAACAUGCAUGGGACAGUGUUAUCUUAUACACAGGAAAGUGCUACGCUGUUUCUUCACGUGAAUUGAAUUAAAAACCCACCGCCCAUGCUUCUACACGACUCAACAUAAUUAAUUUAUUAGCAUUUUAAAAUAAAAAGGUUCACUUUAAUAAUUAAUAAUUAGCAUAACCCGUGAAAGAAUACUAUAUAUAUAUAUAUAUAUAUAUAUAUAUAUAUAUAUAUAUAUAUAUAUAUAUAUAUAUAGAGCCUACUAUACUAUCGGAAGCACUGAGCCUUUCAUGCUUUCAGCUCGUUUUUGAUGUUGCGACUUUUGAAUUGUCGAUCGGUUCCGUUAAACUUGAUCUGGAUUAUUUGACGUACCAAGAAAAUAAAUUUUAUGAUUUUUCGAUAUCAUUUGCCUAGUGAUCGAAGGGGUUCAAAAUCAAUAGCUGAAAAUAAAAAUCUUACAAAUAUAUAUAUAUAUAUAUGAGCAGGACUGCUGUGCUCUCAGGAGCACGGAGGCCUUCGUGCUUCUGAGCCGUUUUCGAUGAUAGAAUUUUCGAAUCGACGAUCGGCUCCGUUAGACUUGAUCUAGCGCAUUUGAAGUUUCUAGAAAAUAAUUUUUGCGAUUUUUCGAUAUCAUUUACCUAGUGAUCGAAAGGAUUCAAAAUCCAUAAUUUUUAAUGGUUGAUAUUUGCCGUUUUCAAGUUUAACGGUGUAGAAGUAUUCAAAUCAGAUGAAAUUUUGAUAGAAAAUUCUUUAUACUAUCUACAACAAGAUCUAUAUUUCUGAUCGAAAAUUUUAGUGCUAUAUCACCACUUUUUAUAGUAUUUUUAUUUUUAGCCUUUAAAAAUUAUUGAUUUUGAAUCCUUUCGAUUGCUAGGUAAAUGAUAUCGAAAAAUCGCAAAAAUUAUUUUCUAGAAACUUUAAAUACGCUAGAUCAAGUUUAACGGAGCCGAUCGUCGAUUCGAAAACUCCAUCAUCGAAAACGGCUCAGGAGCACGGAAUAUCAUACAAUUCACAAUCUCCCCUCACUUCGCACACAGUGUCGGCCACAAACAUGUUAUUAGUACGUGGCUAUAGAAAAUUAAAGUAGUGUAACGAAUCCAAAGGGGUUAGUGGGGAACAUGCUACACUCUAUUAAUAUACGACUUUAAUUUAUUUACAGGUACGUAUGUCGCUUUUAUGUGCAAUAUUUUAUUAUUUGUUAACACUUUUUUUUAUGAACUAUAAUACAGAAUUUUUUAAUUUAAAAUUUACAUUUGUUUUACAAAAAAAAAUUCUAUAUUAGUUUUUUGAAAAUUUUUCAAAAAAUUAAGAAAAAUUAAAAUUUUGUAAACUUUUAACCGUCCCGGAUGGGUCUUGCGCCUGUUUGCACGUGACGGGUGUGUCGAAGCACACGUGACUCUCUCUCUCACUCCUCCGGAGGCGUGCCGUGCACGUGCGUGAGCCUCUUUGGGUCCGAGUCCGAGUCCGAGUCUGAGCCGAUCGAGUCAUUCUCACCACGUGUGGGCGCCUAUUCUCCUUUGAUGGACGUACCCAAUAAAUAUUUUUAUUAUUAUUUUUUUCAUUCACAUUUUAAUCUCGAUCCCCUCAUAAUUCGUUAUAUUUUUAUCCUUAACGCGCAAAAAAAAAAAAAAAAAAAAAUUUGUGCUAGGUACAUAAGUGGCUGGUAGAGAUGCGAGACAAUGUAUUAUUCUGAAUCUAUCAUUUAAUACGGUCGCAAAGUUUAGCAGUGGAAUGCAAUGUAAUUAGUUUUCAUUUUUCCGAUUUGACGUCAAACCUUUUAAUUCAAUGUUCGUGCAAUUCAACUUACGCCAUUAUAAACAAGCUAGUCAACAAAAUCACUAGCAAUAACUAGUAAUAUUAAAAAGAUAUAUAUAUAUAUAUAUAUAUAUAUAUAUAUAUAUNAACGGAGCCGAUCGUCGAAUCGGAUGUCCUAUCAUCGAAAACAACUUACAAGUACGGAGGUCUCCGUACUUUCGAAAGUACAUAAGACUUACUCUAUACAUAUAUAUAUAUAUAUAUAGUGUGAGGCUACUAUACUAUACUAUCGGAAGCACGGAGCCUUCCAUGCUUCCAGCUCGUUUUCGAUGUUGCGACUUUCGAAUCGUCGAUCGGUUCCAUUAAACUUGAUCUAGAUUAUUUGAAGUACCUAGAAAAUAAAUUUUAUGUUUUUUCGAUAUCAUAUGCCUAGUAAUCGAAGGGGCUCAAAAUCAAUAAUUUUAAUAGUCGUAGUGAGCUGUUUGCAAGUUUAACGGUGUAGAAAUAUCCAAAUCACGUAAAAUUUUGAUAAAAAAUUCUUUAUACUAUAUAAAACAAGAUAAAUAUCUUUGAUCUAAAAUUUUAAUGUCAUAUUAUCACGUUUUGUAAGAUUUUUAUUUUCAGCUGUUGAUUUUGAACCUUUUCGUUCACUAGGUAAAUAAUAUCAAAAAAUCGCAUAAUUUAUUUUCUAGGUACUUCAAAUACUCUACAUCAAGUUCAACAGAGUCGAUUGACGAUUCGAAAGUCGCAACAUCCAAAACGAGCUGGAAGCAAGGAAGGCUCCGUGCUUCCGAUAGCAUAAUUAUUAUAGUAAUUUUUAGUUUAUAAUUAUCUAAAAGUUUAUAGUAAUUUUUAGUUUUUUUUUACUAUCAUAAUUAUUAUUUUGUUACUAUAUAUAUAUAUAUAUAUAUUGUAAUUCAAACUUUAUUUUGUUUACGAGUUGUGAAUAUCAUACAAUUCACAAUCUCCCCUCACUUCGCACACAGUGUCGGCCACAAACAUGUUAUUAGUACGUGGCUAUAGAAAAUUAAAGUAGUGUAACGAAUCCAAAGGGGUUAGUGGGGAACAUGCUACACUCUAUUAAUAUACGACUUUAAUUUAUUUACAGGUACGUAUGUCGCUUUUAUGUGCAGUAUUUUAUUAUUUGUUAACACUUUUUUUUAUGAGCUAUAAUACAGAAUUUUUUAAUUUAAAAUUUACAUUUGUUUUACAAAAAAAUUCUAUAUUAGUUUUUUGAAAAUUUUUCAAAGAAAAAUUAAAAUUUUGUAAACUUUUAACCGUCCCGGAUGGGUCUUGCGCCUGUUUGCACGUGACGGGUGUAUCGAAGCACACGUGACUCUCUCUCUCUCUCUCGCCUCCGGAGGCGUGCCGUGUACGUGCGUGAGCCUCUUUGGGUCGAGUCCGAGUCCGAGUCCGAGUCCGAGUCUGAGCCGAUCGAGUCAUUCUCACCACGUGUGGGCGCCUAUUCUCCUUUGAUGGACGUACCUAAAAAUAUUUUUAUUAUUAUUUUUUUCAUUCACAUUUUAAUCCCCAUCCCCUCAUAAUUCGUUAUAUUUUUAUUCUUAACGGCAAAAUAUAUAUAUAUAUAUAUAUAUAUAUAUAUUGUUACUUUUUUUUUUCCCUAUUGACUUGCAUAGAGCAUCUCCUUCUCACNGGGCUCAAAAUCAACGGCUGAAAAUAAAAAUCUUACAAAAUGUAAUAAUAUAACAUUAAAAUUUUAAAUCAAAGAUAUUGAUCUUGUUUUAUAUAGUAUAAAGAAUUUUCUAUCAAAAUUUCACGUGAUUUGGAUAUUUCUACACCGUUAAACUUGCAAACGGCACACUACGGCCAUUGAAAUUUGUUGAUUUUGAGCCCAUUCGAUUAUUAGGCAAAUGAUAUCGAAAAGUAAUAAAAUUUAUUUUCUAGGCACUUCAAAUACUCUAGAUCAAGUUUAACGGAGCCGAUCGACGAUUCGAAAGUCGCAACAUCGAAAACGAGCUAGAAGCACGGGAGGCUCCGUGCUUCCGAUAGCAUAGUAGCCUCACUCUCUAUAUAUAUAUAUUCUAGAAAUUAAAGUUACGAUGAUAUUGGGGAUAAGCCAAAAAAAUUGGAGUGUGACACUCAUACACGGCAAACGCGUUGAGCAUGCACCUGCAUGUUUCGCGUGACGCGUGCGAGAGGACGCAAGUGUAUAUAUUGAAUUGAAUCACUUCUUCGUUUUGAACGUUGCUUACAAUGUAAUUAGUAAAAUCGUAAUUAUAUUUUUUUUUCGGGAUUAUUUUGAGUUUUACAAAGACUCUGCUCCCUCUAUAGCCCAAGAAACUAUUAAAAAGAAUAGAAAAAAUAAUCCUUCAUCAUAUUCAAUUAAUAAUUAAUUGGAAAUUGGUUAAUUAAAAGGAUCUUUAAAAGGUAGAUUAAUAGGGCUAAUUAGACCAUGCAUGUUGAACCCGCACGUGCCCAAGUGCUCUCAUAUUUGUGUAGCAGGUGUACGUAGCGUGCAUUAAAACUCACACAGCGCAUUAAUUAAUUUUUAUCAUUAAAACCAUGGGGUUGAGCAUAGCAUGCACAUGCUAUUGCCCUAUUAGGCUACGGUACAUAUAAACCCCUGUUUUUACCGUUAUUGAGUAACGGUUUCAUUAAAUUUCGUGCGUUUAAGCUUCCUAAACAGGAUAAAAAAAAAUACAUGUUCCACGACCAAGUGUACUCUUCCUUAGUGCAUACAUGCAUCGGGUUAUUACCGUUCUCUCUAUCUGAAAACCUAAGUUAUAGAAUUAGGGCUUAUUUAUUAUAUUUGUCACGUUUCUUGGAAGUUACACCAUAUGUAAAUUGUUCCCGCAUUUGAUCUUAAACAAAUUAUAUUCAAACACUCAUGGUAACUUGAUCCUGUUACCUAAUAAGAGUCUAUUUAUAUAUACAUCUAAUUCUUAUUUUAUAUCUUCGCCAAUAAUAAUAAUUCGUUUGAAAAAAAUUGAAAAAAUAGGAAAGGGAAUCUCAUUCACAUGCAUCGAGGCGCUCUACAUGAUCCCCGCAAUUCACGGUCAUGUGCCUACGUGGUGUUAGGGUUAUGGAGAGAGAGUAGGCCCCAUCCUAUACCGAGAAAAAUUUGAGUGGGGAGCUCCCCAAAGACACAUCUUGAGCCGCGCUUUAUCGUAUCAUUUUUAUUUCUAUUUUAAAAAUAUUAUUUUUAAAAAUUUUAAUACUAAAGUAGUGAUUAGAUGAAGAUAAAAAUUAACAUGUCAAAUUACAUCUGAGACUCUAAUGAGAUGCUCGCUCAAGUUCUAUUCCUACAGAUCCCUGAUGCGGACCCUCCAUCCACCUCCUCCCUCCUCAUUAAUUAACCCACUAAUUAACAGCCUCUCUAAACCCUAAAUUAUACCCCUUAAUCCCAUCAAGAAGGCUAACGGCCGUUAAGUGUUGAUCACGGCGUUACCGAAACGGCGUUUAGAGGGGAACGGAAAAGAAGGAGGUGGAUCAAAAACAUAAUAUAAUAAUUAAUAAUAAUAAUAAUAAAUAAAAAAAGAUGGGAACGGAAAAGGAGGCGCCGUAUAAAGGAUCUGUGAGGAAGGCAUCGUGACCCGUCUCUUCCGAUAGAGUUUUUGAUCUCUCUCUCUCUCUCUCUCUCUCUCUCUCUCUCUCUCUUUUCCAGUAUAUUAAUUCUCUCCAUUUUUCUCCACCUCGAAUUAUCUAGACUCAUCCAGAUCUCUUAAGCUCUAGGGUUCUUGGAUAUAUAUAUAUAUAUAUAUGUAUUGUUUUUUUUGGUUUUCUGUUUAUUGAUUAGAGUUUGAAAUUUCGGAGUGGAUUUUAAACUCCGUGGCCAGAUCGAGAGAUAAAGAGUUCACUUUCGCAUGCCGCGCAGUGGAGAUCGCGAUCUUGUUUUUAUCCUGAGGUAUGGAUUCGAAAGAUAAUUCAUGUUCUAUUUGCUUUGAUUGAUUCGUAAUUCAAUGAUGGAUGGAUUUUAGCGGUCUUUUGAUGCGAAUUAUGGUCAAUUUUUGGCUCAGGAAUUAAACUUCUGGAUUCAGUGAAGAAGCUGCGUAGUGUGUGACGAUCGAUGGAACUCCAAGGUAGGCCACGAAGGAUUUUAUAUAUAGCAUAGCAGCCGGACUCUAUAUAUAUAUAUAUAUAUAUAUAUAUAUAUAUAUAUAUAUAUAUAUAUAUAUAUAUAUAUAUAAAUUAUUUCUUUGUAGUUUCUGUUGAUCUCGUUUGCUAAAUUUAAUUAUGAUAUUUUGUACAAUUUGUAUAAAAAAAAUCUCAGGAAAAAAAGCAACUCACGAUUUCCUCUCCCUUUACACCAAGGAUUCGGAUCCAAAACCUCCCCCUCAAGGUAUAUAUUAACUUUUUUUCAAAAAAAAUUAUUUUACGCUAAAUUUAUAAAUGCAUCGCCAAAAUAAAUACGUGGAGCUCGAUUAUUUUUUUUAAUUUUUUAUCAUCAUCUUAAUUUAGCAAUAAUUUUAUGCGCACUACAACUGAAACUUCAAUUCCCGAACUCAAAAGAGCUGUCAAAUUCAGCGAGCGAAGGUCCGCAUAUUUAUUUGAGCAGUUCAUGUACUCUCUUGUAUCCAAUAAUAAUAAUAAUAAUAAUAUCCAAUGUUUUGCAUUAUUUACAUUUUUCACCUUAAUUAUUAUUAUUAUUAUUAUUAUUAUUAUUAUUAUUUAAGAUCAUUUGCCCCCACCCGCACCGUGAUGUUUUAUGCGGGGGCGGUGUUUUUAAUUAAUAUUUUAUUUAAAAAGAAAAUUCGACCGCAGGGUUUUAUCUAAAGACGCACGACUUCUUACAGCCGCUGGAGCGAGCGGAGGAGGCGAGGAAGAAGAAGCGCGGCGAUGAGUCAGCGGCGGUGGGCCCCGCCGAGCACGUGCUCCCGGGGGGCAUCGGCACGUUCAGCAUCAGCCACGUGUCCGACCCCCGCGCGAGGGCGGCGGUUAAGUCCGAGCGCGGCACGUGCGCCCCCGCUCCCGGGUUCGGGCCCGAGUCCAAACCCGAGUCCGUGCCCUUCGCGCUCUGGGGCGCCUGCGCGGACCACAGAGGUAACUAAACGUCGUUCCUUCCUCCUCUAACGGACGGUCGUGAUUGCUUCGCUUUUCUUUUUCUCUUCUUCUUGCGUGCGAUUGUGAGUUCAUCAGCACCGUUGAAGGGGAUGUGGUAUCUCUUUUCGGGUACGUGGACCGAGUAGGUGUCGCGCAACCGGAGCCCACGUGAUGGCCACGUGACAUCACGGGGCUGUUUCAUUCCGCAAACGUUUGUGUUUGUGUUUGUGUAUCAGCGUGAUAGGUACCUCUCUACCUACGUACCUUCGUGCGGGGGACCGGGGCGGUGAGUAAAUUCAGGAUCGUACACUACAUUCAGUGAUAAAAGUUCCAGGUUACCUUUUUCGAACGUAAUUUUCAGUUAUCAUAAUAAGUGUUUUUGGUAUUUUUUUUACGGUUCUAAACGAGUGGUGUCAAAUUUUGUUUUCCAAACAAAAAAUAAAAUAAAAUAAAAUAAAAUAAAACACCACCAUGGCUUUUUGCACAGAUUUUCACUCUUGCCUUGUAAUAAUUUUAAUUAAGAUACUUAAGAUUAAGAUUGGUCAUCUGAUAUAGUAGUAAGAGACAAUUUCAUCAGAAUUUCGAAGAAAAAUGAGCAACUUUUGGGGCAUUUAUUAAUGUUUUUUUGGUACCGUUGAAGUCACAUGGUACGUACGAAUGGUAAAUAGCAUGUUCUGCGUCAUUAUCCAAAAAGCGUGCGAUCCACAGGAGCGCCUUUGGGCUCGGCCCGGAACUCAAACCGUCCCGUCAAAACUAAAAUCGAAAUCCGCCGCGGAGUCCGGUUGGGUCCACCGCUCUCCCGUAAUUAUAAUAAUAAUAAUAACAAUAAUAAUAAUAAUAAUAAUUAUUAUUAUUAUUAUUAUUAUUAUUAUUAGUAUUAUUAUUAUUAUUAUUAAUUAAUAAUAAAAAAGAAAAAAUAAAAAGGAAAGUGAACCUCGGCCUUGUCCCGACAUUAACCUCCUCCCACACGACGACGCUCCUUGGCACUACUCCUCGUCUCGUUUAUUCUUUAUAUAAUAAUAAUAAUAAUAAUAAUAAUAAUAGUAAUAGUAGUAGAAUAUUUUAUAUAUAUAGUUUGUUAAAGAAGAGAGAGGCGAUUUAGCGCUUCUGCAGAAGCUAAAACCGUCUCCUUUUUGGCUGCUUCUUCUUCGUCCUCCCCAGCAGGGCAGUGGUCAUCGCCAUUCGCGGCGCACGUUAGCGGCAGCGCCAGCUUCGGAUCCGUCUCCUCCGCCUCCAGGUUCGCUUCUUCUCCAUCGUCCUCUCCGAUUCUCGCUUCGCCCGGGGGGGUUUCUAGGUUUCUGGGAGCUCAAAGCUUGCUUUUUCGGGGCGCAGGAACAAGCCGGGGCCGGAGAGGAAGCAGUUCAUGGACGCGGUCUCGAGGUCCAGCAAGGGUUUCGAGGACGACGAGGAGGAGGAGGAGGAGGAGAAGUUUGCGAGGAGAGAGGCCUCUUCUUCGCAUAAAGGUUCGAUCUUUAUUCUUUUCUUCCUCUUUUCCUCUUACUUCUGUGCUUUUUCCCCUGGUAAAUUCGAAUGGGGAAUGAUCUUGUGCGGGAUGGGAUGCUUCUGCAUAUAGGUUAACGUACGCUGAUAUCAAUUUGAGGCUAAAAUUUCUCUGUUCUAAACAAUUUGCGACGAAAAGGUGUCUUUUUUUUUUUUUAGUGCCUUUCCGGUUGCAUGAACCUUUUAGCUUGUCUACUCAAUUGGAAAUUUCGAUCAUAUCUAAAUUCCUUCCCUUUUUUUUUUUUGUUUUUUUCCCCUUUCCUUUCUUUUUGACCGAGCUACUGGUGUACCAAAGAUGUAAUCUAGUCCCCUUAAUUUUGUUACAGAGUUAGGUGUGAAAAUAGAUGGGAACGGCCGCGGGGGCGGCAAUGAUCAGAGACCCAACACGCCAAGAUCAAAGCACUCCGCUACGGAACAGCGGAGAAGAAGCAAAAUUAAUGACAGGCAAGUUCAAGCUGAAGUAUUUUACUAUUCAAAAUCCUUGAAGUCAAAGUCCUCAAUUUGUUAUUCUGGAAGUAGAAUAGCCCUUGAUGAGUGAAUAAGCAACACGUUCUGAACUAUAAUUAAGGGUUCUUUGAUAAGUAGUUUAUGAGUAAGGUCGCUUGCAAUACAAGACCAAGAUUGAGAUAAUUGUCUUGAUCCAUAUUUGAAAUUCCUCUUUUUGUUUUUUUAAUCUGUUUUGACCUAGAGCCUUUUUUGUUAGCUUAGAGCUAAGUACUGCUAUAAAGAUUACUGAGAAGUGCAAAAGAGACAAAUUUAAUUUAUUAUAAUUCAUCAUUGGUCUUGAACUAUGCCGAACCUCGUCUUCCCAUCAACUUCUAUCAUGGGUCUAUGCAAUUAGCUGCCUUUUUACAUUCUUUUCUGGAUAUUUCGAAAGUCGCAUCUGAAACAAAUGGGAAUAAUAUUUUGUUUCGCUGCCAUAAUUCUUUGAAAUCUUGCUUGCAGAUUUCAGAUACUUAGGGAACUCAUCCCUCAUAGUGAUCAGAAGAGAGACAAAGCUUCAUUUCUUCUAGAGGUAACUGCACCUAAUUUGAUUCUCUCUUUUCCCCAACUAUGUUAGGUUGAGUUUUAUUAGAAGUGACAGGCCAAGCUUUAAAUGACCUUUUUGCAGGUUAUCGAAUAUAUCCGUUUCUUGCAAGAGAGAGUGCAAAAGUACGAGUCCUCAUGCCCAGAAUGGAACGAGGAUAAUGUGAAGAUGAUGCCAUGGGUAAUGCGAUUUUUAGGGCUGUGUAUUCAUGAGUUGGUUCAUACUUGAUGUGAAAUUUUAUUCUUUUUUGGUGUUCUUUGAUGGCUUACCUUUAGGUAUCGUUUGGUUCGAGAAUAAGGAAAAAGUGGCUAUUCUAGGGAUAGGUAUAAAUUGAGGUAUAAGCGGGGAUUAGAUCAAUUUUGCGUUUGGAUGAAAAUUGGGUUAUUCCUGGGAAUAAAAAAAAUAGCGUUUGGUUAGGUAAGAUGGAAUAAGAAAGAUAGUGGGUUUUAUAAAUAAAAAACAAUCAUAUUAUCCUCUUAUUAUAUAUAAAUUUAAAUUUUUAAAAUUUUAAAUAUAUAUUUUUAAAUUUAAAAUUUUAACUUUGAAAUUUCAAAAUUUGAAAUUUAAAAUCUCAAAUUUUAAAUUCAAAAUUUUAAACUUUAAAUUUCAAACUUUAAAUUUAAGAUCAAAUUUAAAUUGAAAAAUAUAAAUAUAAAAUUUUAAAUUUCAAAUUAAAAUAUCAGAAUUUAAUUUUAAAUUUAAAAUUUUAAUUAUAACUUUAAUUUUGAGAUUAUAAAUUAUAAAUUUAACAAUUUAAAUUUUAAAUUUUAAAUUUUUAAAUAAGAAUAGGGAUUGGGAACAAUUAAUAAAAAUAAUUUAUUAUAAUAAAUUUAUAAAUUUUUUUAAAAUUCUACUUAAACUUAAAUUUAAUAAAAUAAUUUAUUAUAAUAUUUAAAUAUAAUUUACUAUAAUUUUUUAUAAUAUUAAAUAAAAUAAUAAUUAUUAAUAUAAUACAAUUAAUAAUUUUAUAAUAAAAAUAAUGUAUUAUAAUAUAUAAUUUUAAAAAUUAAAUUUUUAAUUUUUAAAUUUUUAAAAUAAGAAUAGGGGUGGGAACAAUUAAUAAAACUAUUUAUGAUAAUAAAUAUUAAAUUUAUUAAUUCUACUUAAACUUAAAUUUAAUAAAAAAAUUUAUUAUAAUAUUUAAUAUAUUAUUAUAAAUUUAUUUAUAUAUUUAAAUAUAAAUAAUAUGUAUUAAUAUAGUACAAUUAAUAAUUUUAUAAUAAAAAUAUUGUAUUAUAAUAUAUAACAUAUUAUAUUUAACUUAAUUUUGAUUUAAUAUAUUUAUAUUAUACAAUAUAUACAUUGGAAUAGUGCUAUUCCACCAAAAUGGUGGAAUAGCAAAUCCCUUGCUAUUCCGGGAUAACCGGGAAUAGCAAGGUUUGACCCGGAUAAAAUAUCCCGGUCAAAUUUCAUCCUGUUUGGCGGAAUAGCUGGGAUAACUUUCGUUAUCCCUGCUUAUUCCUCCAACCAAACGGGGCCUUAGUGUCACCAAGGGCCUCAAUUGGUCUGAGGGGGAUGGCAUACCUGCUUGUGUGUGGUUGCACAAAUUUUUAGGGCUAUAUGAUCAGUAGUUUGGAUGCGUACAUCACACAUCCCAUAAAAAUGUUACUUUGGAUAUAUUUGUUUGGAUGCAUCCCUAAUUCAUUCCAUGUGUAUUGUUGGAACAUACUUGUUUGGGUCGGAGGAGUAUUAUUUUGUGAUGUAUAUAUCUACAUCCCACUUCUCAUUUUCUGGCAAAAUUUAAGUAAGCCCUUGAAUUCGGAAGCUUAAAAAAUAUUUAGAUGCAAACAGAUAGUACAGUAGGUCUUGAAAUCUUUCUUCUAUGCACUAAUAAAUUUCAGCUUAUGCUGUUGCUCUCUGAGAUUAAUUAGUUUCAACCACCAUACCUCCAUGCAUAUUUACGGCAGAUUUGGGUUUAUUUUUACUGUUGGAACUAUUUUAUAAGAAUACAAGUAUCAACUAGUCCAUGUUGCACCAAGUGAAAUUUUUAGAUUGUACAGAGGUCUUUAGUUUUUCUUAGUGACACUUACAAACAAAAAAAGAGCCUCCUUUUUUUUUAUUGAUUUUCAUUUUGGUUUCUUUGGCAGGUAAAAGUCUAUUUUAGAUCAUUCUGGAAAAAUUCACGGGUACCUGUCACUUAAAAAACUGAAAAUAGAGCUAGAAUUUGUAGGGCACGUUUAUCUUUUAAGAGUUUCUUAUAUAUUUCAUCAUUCUUUUAAUCAGCUGUCUGAACUUUCUCUUUUUUUCUCUUCUUUUCCUUUUUUUUUGCAGAAUAAUAACCGAAGCCCUGAAAAUUUUAUAUCUGAUUCUUCACAAAUCAACAAAAGUGGUUCUGCUCACCCUCAGCAAACUUUGCUUGGAAAGAUCAAUGACAAUCACAUUCAGAUUGCACAUACGGUUACCUCAGAUGCACCCAAUCCAACAGAACUGAACCAAAUGGCUGGUGUCUCUUUCAAAGCGACUGAAAACCCCCCACAUUGUCCUGGUAAGGCAGCUGAUUUACACGCUUCUUUUGCUCAUAUACUAUUGCUCUGUUGGAUGGUUCAGUGAUGUUAGUCUUAAAGGAGGUUUCUUUUAGAUGCAGAUAACAACACAUUUCAGGCGCAAAACCAAUGGUUAAGAUCACCUCUUGUUGCCGAUUCUGCAUUUAGCAAUGAAAUGUUAAAUCAACAUGAGGAACUGGCGAUAGAUGACGGCACAAUUAAUGUCUCUUGUCAUUACUCUCAAGAGUAUGUAUUUGAUGACUCUCUUGCUUUUAUUCUUUUAGUUGGUUAUUUCUUUUUAUUUUGUUAAGCUCACUUAUCUUAAUAUCAAUUGUUGAUGCAUAUUCUUGUUACUUUGCUAUUGAAUGUGGGGGAUUCUUGUGUAUUAUGUCUGAGAAUAGUGGUUUCUUUUUCCCAUUUUUUAUUACUUUCCGGUCUCUGAACGAGCUUCCAUCUUUGCUUAUUCUCUGUUAUACUAUGGGAUUAAAUAUCCUACUUGCUAGAUUUCUGCUUGAUAAAUCUUUUAUAUAUUGCAUUAUUUGAAAAAAAGAUUUUUUUUUUUCUCAAUCUUUCUUUCAACUAUAGUCAAUGAUGCAUGAACUUGUGUGUUUUGAUAUCCUCAUGAAUGUUCAGCAAUUGUCAUUAAUUGUUCGUUUUUUCUCUUUUCUUUUCUUUUUCUUUUUUCUUUUGCAUUCUUUUGACUGUUUACUUCACAUUUCUGCAUUUAGUGAUCAAAUAUUUAAUAUUACGCCGAUUAAGUGUAUUGGUAAACUAUUUAGUUUCAUUUUGUGUGAAGAAUUGAAGCUAAUGCUGAACUGAACUACUUGAUCUAACAGGUUGUUGACUACACUGAGUCAGGCUCUCCAAAACUCUGGUUUAGAUUUGUCACAAGCCAGCAUCUCUGUACAGAUCAAUCUGGGUAAACGUGCCGCUAAUAAGAGAAGUGCAGCAGUCUCAACUUCCAGUCCGAAGGUAAUAAGCUAUUGGUGUAUUUCUCCAUUUGUUUGUAUGCCUUCUUAAACAGUUAAACACAAAGAAUAGAUGUUCAAAUCUUCUUUCAAAGUUCCGGUUUGGUUCGCUUUUAUACCAUUUCUAGUGUAGAAUACUGCUGUCAGAUAGGUUUAGACAUUUAAUAUUGCCCUUCACCUGCUUUAGUCUUGCUCCUAGUUCUAGAGGGUGUGAAUAUUAUUUUGUCCAACAUUUUGAGAAACGCUAAGGUAUGUUUGGUUGUCGGAUAUGUUUGUUGGUAUUAUUACAUACUCUUUGUUUAGGUUCAUACCUUGUUAUUGUUGUGAUGUAAGACAUAAGGUGAUUUCUUGUGCAAUUCAUUUUAAGGUGGUGGUGCCCUUGAAAGAUUUUUUAGGCCAUUAGACAGGAUAUAAAGAUGGCACCAUAUUGAAGUCGCCAGAUAUCAAAAGCACAAAGCUAUUAUAUGGCUGAGCAUGAUUUAUCUAAUUUUCAAAAAUCUUGGAUGUAUACGAUAGUUCGUAGAUAUACUUUUUAGUUCUCCGAUUUCUGAUAUAUGGCUGAGCAUAUGCUUUUUCUCUUAUCUGCUGUAGAUCAGAUUGUAAAAUUAAGAAAAAUUCAUUCCCUUCAGCAAAAGUUUUUAAGUUUUGUUUUUCAAAAAUCUCAUAUCAUUUUGAACCAUUUUGCAAAAUCAAUCUGAUCCCUUUCGCUCUACAUCUUUUCCCUGUUUAUAGGAUCACGUUCCUGCCGUAAAUAAUCAAGCAAGUGAGCAUGCAAGGGCGGGCAACACCGGACAAGAGUUUUCUGAAGCACCAAAGAGGCGCAGAGUCGAUAACAGCUAACGCCAAUUUCCUCAAACAGUUUUUUGGGAUUUUUAUUUUUAUUUUUUAACAUAUUUUCCGGCUGUUGCUGAGCACCGCUGAUCAGUGUAUAUUUGGGGUCCGCGAUUCUGAUUUUCUCUUGUUGCUGCGCACCGUCGACUAGUGUAUAUUAUUCUAUAUCUAUAUCUAUAUAUAUAUAUUUGAUCUUGAUAGCCCCGACGCAUGCUUGUGUUGGAUAUUCUUUCAAUCUUCUGUAAUUUUUUUUAUCUUUUUUUCCUAUUUCUUUUUCUUCUUGGAAGAGGCUUCCGCUGUGGAUACGUGAAGCUUUUUAUUUCAUGCUUCGCAUUGUUUAGUGUUGCAGAUUAAUUUGUAUAUAUACUUAUUCACAAUGCUUGGUGUAUUUGCGUAGUCAUUCUUAUGGCAGGUAGGUUUAUUUAUUGGUGGCGCAUUUGUUUAGUCAUUCUAAACUGUUGUGCCUUCGCCCAUUUUCGUGUCCAAACUAACUGGCAAUAUGAAAUUUUCACCUUUUUUGUUUGUCCUUAUUAGUACAAGUUAAAAAAAAGGAUUUCGAGUUAAAUCGAUUCUCUUAGGAGAUGAACUGUUUCUUAAAAAUUGUAUGACUAAGCUUAUGAAGUGUCACAACUCAAAAAAAAAAAAAAAAAAAAAUUAAGGUACAAAAUAUUAGGAGUAACUGUAGAUAUAUACUAACGUAUUUGGAUUAUACUAGGCUUAAAUUUUGAGUGUGUACGUUAGAUGAGUUUGAUUAGAUAUGUUUUUGUAUUAUUGUGUCCACCUGGGUUAUGAACUUAUGAUUGGAUUGGUCAGAACUCCUCGGCACAAAACACACACAACGCAGAUUAUCACGUAACAAAGAAGCAAGAAUCUUACGAGUAGCCCCUUCGCUACAAAGCGAGGCUCCUGCAGUGCCUAAUCAAAACGAUUCCACCACUGCGUAAUAUAUGAGUGUAGGAAAAUUCCCAUCUUUUCCACCAACCAUUUGUACGUGUAAAGUGGCUUAGGAUAUAUGAUGAUCGGUGAUGAUUAAAUGAGAGGAACUAUCGAAGGCCAUGUGACAAUGUUGCUUUUGUGCAAGUCAAAAGCUUCAGUAGAUCAUCUCUGUAGAACCUGUGAAUGCAUAGGAAGCAAUGCUCCUCAUAGGUUCCAAUCAAAAAUAGGUGAUCAGGAAAAUCAAUGAGAUUCCUAAAAAUAUGUGUAAAUCUUAUAUUUCCUGAUGUACAAGAUUGACCCUUCAUAUUGAGGAGCACGAUUGUUAUAUCCACUUCUUGGAUGUAUGAGUAGCAUUUCUGUUUCUAUAAAUAUUAUAAUGCACACACACAAGUUAGAUUUAUUUUAUUUCAAGCUUGUAACAAAAAGUCAAAUGUAUUUUGGCUUCUUAUUAGUGAAUAAUUUCCAGUGUAUUCCAAGUUCAAACUGAGGACAGAUCAUUAUAGUAUGAGGGUCUCAAAUUUUUAAUUUGCAUCUCUACACAUCCAAUUAAGGCGCCAGUUUGGCAUGUUCUGAUUCUUUCUUUGUCAAGUACAAUCGGGUGGGAUGUUGCUCCAGGUCCGUGUGUACGUACGGCCUUUCUCACUGGUCCCAUUCAGACAGGUUUGGGAGAGAAAUUUUGUAGGGAGCUUCUUAUACAAGCACUUGAAAACAAAUAAAAUAAAAUAAAAUAAAAUGUGACAGUAAUAUUGCAUUAUCUAUAGUUUCAACCAAUAAAAUUUGUUUCCGUAGUUUACUCAUCUGAUCAUGAUUUUUUUUAAAAAAAUACUAUACUUUUUUUUUUUUUUUUUUCAAAAUGAGGAUUUUGAUUGGUUUUGAGACACAAUGAGAUAAUGUCAUAAUGGAUUGUUUAAAGUUUGCAAACUGAUCUCACAAUUUAACCGGUGUUAUAUUCCGAUGUGAAAAAAGCAUAUAUAUAUAUAUAUAUAUUAAUUUUCAUUUUGUCCUCUUUUUAUUCUCAUCAUUAAUUUCACCCAAUCAAUGAUAUCCCGUAAGAGAACUGAAAUAGAAGAUAGUCACUAUAUUCUAUUAGCGUUCUAAUGAAUACUGAUCAGACUGUGGCAUUUGAAGUACUCACGAGCUUGAAAGGUAAGCUAAUUAUUAGUAUAUUUGAUGAGCUGACAGUCAUGAAUCCUAAUCCUCUAUUUAACUUGCUGGUUAUGAAUAAAAUUAUAAUUAAUGGUUGACACUGAAUCCCAUAAUGGUCUCAAGUCUCAACCACCCAACAUGUACUUGUCACCCAACAUCAUAUAACUCCAUUCAAAACCAUAAAUUUAUUUUCACGGAGAGAGGGAAAGUGACGACCACAACCACGACCACGACCACGACCAUCGCCACCAUUGAAUAAAAGAGGACUCUCCAAAGACAAAUAUUGGAGAAUCCUCGUUCACAGUAUUAAGUUGAGAUUUUCAGCUCGUGACAUGAUUUUGUUAGCAUUAUCAAUUCGCACCACCAGCAAAGUGGCCGCUACUGUGAUAUACCACCACACCUACCCCUCCUCUUAUAAAGCAUAAUAAAAUUUGUCACGCUGAUGAAUCUUUGGUUCAACGAAUAUAAUAAUAUUUUGGUCAAGACCAAGUGCAAAGUGUUAAGAUAAACUCAAUUGGCCAAAUUAAACUAGCUUAUCACGCAUAUGCGACAAAAGUGUGAGAGGUACCUUUUUUUUUUUUUUUUUUAACUUGAGAAAUGAGCAUUUUUCCAAUAUCCUGAUUCCUUGUUUAUAAUAAUGAUAAUGACUAUUGCAAUAAUAUUGUACUUGGCCAUAUGUGCACGGUUUAUUAAUUAACUAUUGAGAAGCACAAUUAAUCAAUGUACUCAUGAUCCCUAACUCUCAACAAGUAGUAAUUUAAGUACGAAAUUGUCUAACUUGACGAGUUCAUGGACUGCAUCGUGCUUGUACUUCAUUCAGAAUCCAUGUCUUAGAACAGAAACAGAAAAACAAAGAGAAGAGAAUCAGUUCAAAUAAAAAUCGAAAGAAAUAAAGCGAGUAAAUUUUAUAAAAAUGGACAGAAUCAACAGAAUAUUUAGUUUGAGAGGCCUAAAAAAUUUCAGAGAUGGUGAUGGGCACAAACCUUCCAAACCAUCCCACGAAUCGCGACUUUUUUAACAUCAAAAUCAUCUCUUAGGUACAUGCAGCUGGAAAUCCCUGCAAUGAAUAACAACAUCUUCACCUCUCAUCUAUUUUCUCUCUCUCUUACCCUCUAUACAAGAAUGUGAACCUUUGGAACUUUAUUUAAAUGGAAAUAAAUAAGCCUAUCACAAAUCAUAAUUAUGCGUGUCCACCAGCUGCAUAAAAUGAACCUCUCCCCCCUUUCCGCUUCUUCCUCUUAUACGCCCACCAGCACUUAAGUCGUCAGGUCCAAUUGAGACCGAUCGGCGAUCGAGAUUACACUGUGGUUUUGAUUUAUAAAAGAAUAGCAAUCUAAAAAGAGUGUUGCGACGGCGAUUUCACAAGCUAGAUAAAUCUUCGGGGUGUCGCAAGCAUUCUUGUGGAUUGGCAUAAAAGUAGUCCUCUUCCUUUGGCCGAUCGGGAAUUACUAUUCUCCUAGAAGGCAUUCCCAUUCGAUUCGAAUGGACCGUCUUUACAGAUAAGGAGAAUUCAUCCCAGCCUAAAGAGCCAUUGUUGUAUUGAUCCACAAGCUCGACUAUAAGCUUUCGAUCCAACAGGAUUGUUUUCCUGAAACCCAAGUAUCUGCAAACAGAAACAGCAACAGGUAAAGAACACCACUUACGAAAAAGGAUUAAAAAAAAGGAACAAAUGAAUGAUGGUAAGUUGAUGAAGACCAAUCAAAAUAUUCAUUUACUAUGAUUAGCCGUUUAUUCUGGAUUUCUACCAUUGUUUGUUUCAACUGAAGGGAAAAAAAAAAGCGCUAUGAGCACAUUUAGACAAGCAAUUGCACUUCAAAACUUCAGAACAGCGUUUGUAUAAUAGAGAGAAGUACCUGCGGUGGCCUUCAACAACUUUAGCCAUGUUGCCGUCGUAGGUUGGCACGAAGAUAUCACUCUCUAAGGAUACCAAAUAAUCCAAUGCCGCCAUUUGGGAUGAAUGAUUUUGGAAAAAUCUAAGAUCCGAAGGCUCCAAUAGAGUUUCCUUCCUAACCUAUAUUACAUUGUUAACACAAUCAAUUUAAAAAACAGGAAGGUAUAUGUAGGGCAAAAAAAGAAAAAAAAGGGUGAAAGAUAAUAACAAAGGAAUAACUGUUGCAGGAACUGACCACAUUCGGAUAAGCAGCAGUAAGGGCAGCCAUUCUCCUUUCUCCACCAUAUAUUUCCCCUGCAGCAAUGUAAAUCUGCAUGCUGCGAUCAAUAUCUAAUGCCCGCAAAAUGAGAGCAGUUUCCUCUGGUGUCAAAGGACAUAGACCAUCUCUCCUUUUCAUAUCUGAGUUGAUAACUUUCUCUUUCCACCAGGGAUAUGCAUAUCUACAAAAAAAAAAAAAAAAGAAUAAAAAAAGAAGGGAAAUUUACUCAUUUGCAAUCCCUGAAAACUAAGAGAUUUUAACAAAUAAAUUUUAAGCAAAAAUUAUCUUUUAACACAUGCAUCCCUGGAAGUUCUGCAUAUUCAGACAUGCAGAAAAUAUUUUCUAAUACAAAACAAUUUCUUCCAUGAAUUCAAUGAGCUUCCAACUUAAUAUCAGCAUUUUUUUUUUUUUUUGGUUGUAGGAAACUGCAGGGGGACAUGAAAUUUCGGAUUAGGAGAAAGGAAUGAAAAGACCUAUGAUCAUAUAUACCUCAUUCUUGUCAACUCUUCUGCCUCCUCAUCAGAGCAACCUUGGGUGCAGCCUGAGAAAGCCAACAUGUCCAUUUCAUAUCGCAGAUGAAGAACCAAAAACGGCCCGUUCUGCCGAAGUAUUCUAAUCACUCGUUUGCCCAACUCUUCUAUUUGAGAGGUAAAUCUAAGAGCGGCGUAGUUCACUCGACACCUCAGUUUCUGAAUCUCAAUAGGUAGGCCAUUAUUAGCGAGCCGAGCGUCGGUCUUGUUCAAAUGCACAACUUUGUACUUCUGAAUUAAAGGAAGAAUCUGUUUUCAGAUCAAUGAUCUCAGUUAGCUUCCUCUCGGAUGAAAUAAUAACAUACGAAGAAAGUUUACCCAAACAAACUACACAAAUGGAACCAACCUGAUUAUAAUAAUAAGAAAUAUCAGACCAACUAACUGGUGGCAUAGAAUAAACCAUUCCUAGCUCCACUCUUCUUUUAAGCCUUGGUGGAAGUUCUUUUAGUAUCCGGACCUCAUCUCUCAAUGAGGUAAUGAAAUGAUCGACAUCAAAUAUGUCCUGAAACUCGCUGAAUAAUAGCAUUUUCAACAGUUAUGAGUUCACGCAAGCUGACAAACCUAGAUAUAAUUUUUUUUCGAAGUUAAUACGAAAAUAAGCACACCUUGGAUCAGCCCAAAAUGAGGUUUUGUCUAAUUCAGGUACUACUAAAGUCACAUUCAAGUAUCUUGCGAUAGCAACCAUAUCGCAUAUCUGAGGAAACAACAAGAACAAUAUUAGACUGAUUUUGCCCAAGACAAAUUAACAAAUUAAAAGGAAUAUAAGCCUGACUAAAUGGUUACCGCGGCUCGCAUCUGAUUCAGUCCACCAUUGCAUGAAACCAUCAAAUAACCGUUAUUUUUGUAGAUUCCUGAAGAAAAAAGAAUCCAAAUGCUCGGUCAAAACAAUACAGGAUCACUGUACCAAUUGAAAGCAUCUAAUAAUUGAAAUCCCAAUUUAAUUAAUUAGAAGGCAGAGAAAUAAAGGGGGCACAUAGUCAUAAGGUAAAAGGAGCGGAAUUCGAUAGCCUUAUAGAGAAAUAUUCAAUUAAUAUAAGCAGGAAUUGUUCAAACACGGAUAAUCGCGACCCUUCACAGUCAAGACAAUCCCAGUCAGAUAGGUACAUGACACCACAAUUUGGUAUAUAUUUCAUGGACAGGAAAAAACCUAAGGCAGAAGAGGUCAAUCAUAUGAACUCAUUCAACCCUGAAAAGGAAAGCAUAAAAUAAAACAAAUGAUAUAAAGAAAUUAGCAAUCUCUCAUGUUUAAUCACGAACCGAAAGAAACAGCCUUAAUUUCUUAAAUAAAUUGGCAAAAAAAUAAGCAGCAAUUACAACAUUAUUAUAUUGUCAAACAAUAAACCCCACAAUAAAACAGAGGUUGCCCAUAAAAAUCAAGUUAACUAAUAGGUAAAAUACAACAUCAAUUUCAGCCCCGAACAGGAAGUACUUAUUCAACGCAGCUUCCAAAUAGGAGACGUUUUAUUAAUCAAACCUAUACGUCCCCAAAGAUUUUUUUUUUUUUUAAGGAAAACCAAAAACAAUUUGGCCACAAAGCUCGAAUUAAUCAAAACAAAUUAUUGUAAGAUAAAAUAAGGGUUUUCUUCAUAAACAACCUAAAUCUAAAAUUCAUAAAAAGAGCAUAAACAAAAACACAACAAAAUCAAAAGAGAAGGAUGGGAAUAACAAAAUGGGCCUAAUUCUUGUUGUUGGAGGAUUGAAACAAAGGAGAAAAAAACACUCACUUUUCGGCGGAAGAGUAACCUUCUCGGCCACCGAUGACACGGCGGCGACCGCGGGCUUUAUCGGAAGCGGAGAAUCAGAAGGGGUGAAGCACGAGGGCCACCCCUUGAGGACCCGGGGGCCCCAAAUCUCCCCCAGCGCGGUGAGCUGCACCACGCACGUCCAGAGAAGCACGGUGGUGGUGGCGCGUACCAUCCACAGCUUCAUCCGUGACCUCGACGCCGCCGCCGCAGCCGCCGCUGCAGAGCCCCUCAGCUUCUCCGCCUUCAGAUUCACCGGCCGCUCCCCGUACUCGGAUCCGAUCGCCUUCUCGAUCCGGCACAUCCUCGGCAUCCAAUUAGUCCUCACCUCCAUGCAUCAAAACCCUAGUUCCGAUCCCCUUUCCCCUGCCCCCCCCGCUCAUCCAAGCCGGAAUAUCCUCGAUUUAACUCAAUGUAGCUUCACCGAGCCGAUCGAAACCCUGGAUUAAGGCCAAAUAAGGUCGCAAAAGGGCAAGCUAUCCCAAAUUUCUUCCCAAAAAUCGAACUUUUUACCCCAAACCGACGGGAUCGCUCGCUUAAAUGCCGACACCAGCUCAAAUCCACCAAAAAAUUACCAAAACAACUUACUCCGCAGUGAUUAAGGAUCAGAAGAGAUCCCAACACGAUCUCCUUCCUCAAAACGCCAAAUCUCGUCGUUUUUUCCCCCCCAAAAAGGGCAAAAUCUCCUCGAUCGUGGCCGGAGAUCGAGAUCGCGAGGCGGAUUUCGGGGUUCAGGAUGAGAUUGGAGGGGAAAUGGAGGGCAACUUCGGUGCCCAGAGAGCGGAGGAGAGGUGCCCGAUCCCCCAAAUUUAUUUGAGAGCGGAGCUCUGUGUUUGUCGCCUUACGCGUCGGUGGCGUAUAUACGAGGCGACGUGUCCGUACGCGCCCCAAAUACCUACGGUCGAAUCACGACCGUCGGUUGCAAUUACGGGUACACGCGAUUAGCGUGUGCCGCUGCAUCAAAAUUCGCGAGGGCCCAGAUGCGCGCGCCACGUGGACUCAUCGCGAUAGCCUCGUUGAUGUCGGGGGUCCCGAGAGCUACGCACGAAUGAUUGGGGAGGCGAUACACGGAAUUUACGAAGCCCGUCAUUACAUUUUUGGGAUCACCGAAACGGACGGCUGGGAUUAAUCGGCGGGUGGAUUCAUCCCCACCGUUUUCCCCCUCCGUUAAUCCCGUGAAGCGGCCGCCCCUUGUCGUGCCCCGCCGUUACUUGACGCCGUCACAACGGUCGAAUCGAAUUUUUUGCUCUUUCUCAAUUUUCUGGAAAAUAAAAAACAUUGGCAUUAUUAAUUUCCAUUUUCUAUAUAUAUAUAUAUAUAUAUAUAUAUAUAUAUAGAGAGAGAGAGAGAGAGAGAGAGAGAGAGAGAGAGUCUAACUAUUAUACUUUUAUGAGUAUAAGUCCAUUUAUACUCAUANAGAGCAGAUGAAAUAAAUGGAUGUGUUUAUAUUUUUAUAAUUAUUUAUAAUAUAUGUAUAAAUAAUUCGAAUUAGUUCAAAUUAAUCAUUUAUUACUAAGCAGUAGUUUAAUUAUGUUGAUCUUUUCGGGGAGCUUAUUAUGACUCCGAUAGAGUUAAUAAGAGGAAUUAUUGAAUAAAUCUUAUAAGAAUUCACCUGAUCUAAUCCUCAUAAUCUAAACACUAUCGAACAACUGUCAAUUUAGAAAUGUAUUGUCACAGAUAAGUGAUUAUUCUUUCUUUAAUAAUUAUUAUUAGUUUUUUUCCUUUAAGCGAGGAGGUGGGAAGAAUAAAAAAAGUAAAAGUAAUUUGGCGUCUCAAUCAAUCAUGAUUAAAAUGGACGGCCACCAGAUGGGGGGGUCCACAGCUCGACACGCGUGCCUUGUUGAUCGGACGGCCGCCAUUUGACGAGCUAGAUAAGGAUCGGCCAGAUGGGGAGAAGUGAGACAUUCGACCCACCGAUGGAACUUCCAGAAUACCUAUUUUGAGCCGUUCAUCAGGGAUCGAACGGCUGCUAGAGUUGAGUGGGAACACCGAGACGAAUCGGACGGUGGAAACUGCUGAGCUGGCCCGUGAGGUGGACCGGCGAUGUCUAAGACAGAAAUUUAUUGCAUAGACCGAUCCACCGUAGACCAAGUGCUAAACCCUAAACUUAAACAACUGAUCUGAUUCUCCCAAAAGUUUGGGCUCAACACUUUGUGAUAUAAUUAUACCAUCAAAUAACUAACCAAUUUGAACUCAAAAGUUUUUUUUUUUUUUUUAACACUAUAGUACAAUAUUUAAUUUUAUAUAUAUAUCUAAAUUCUCAAGCUGCCAGAAAAUAAAGAUCUAAUAUUGUUCAUCUGCAACAUGCAUCAUCAAUCAUAUUUAAAAUUUAGAAAUAAUAUUAUUUAAUAAAGUGCUAUUCGAAUGUUCUCUAAGUAUCUAUAUCUAUAUAUAUAUAUAUAUAUAUAUAUAUAUAUAUAUAUAGUCCGACUAUGGUGCUUGUAAAAGCACUAAACACUCGGUGCUUGUAAUUUUUUUACCAUUAGAUCUCAAUUUUUGAUCAUUUUUAUCCGUUAAAUUAUACUAUUCAACCAACCACCCACUCAACCCUAAGGUGCCCACAUCAUCCUAACUUCACAUCCCUUAAUCCAAGGGUCGAAAACUUACAAGCACCAAUCACUCGGUACUUUUAAAAGCAUAGGAGCUCAAUUCUAUAUAUAUAUGUAGCAAUAUAUAUAUAUAUUGCUAUGAUAGUAUCAAAAUUUUCGAAUAAGAAUGUCUUUUGUGUUAUCUCAAUUUUUUGAGACAACAACUAUAAAUAAAAGUAGAACUAAAAUUAAAACCUAAAAAAUCUGAUGACCUCUUACAUACCAUUGGUUUUUUAGAUACUUGAAUAGGUAAAAUAUGGAUUUUUUUUUUAGAGAAAGGUAGCAGAAUAUUACCUGCUUUGUUUAUUUCUUUUUAUAAAUAAACUUUUAUAAAUAAACUUAGCUGAAAAAUAUGAAUCAAUUAGGAUUCGAAUUUGGGACAUCAAGUACCAACCAUCAAACCCUUUGCCGCUUGCGUUAGAGAGAGACAGCUGUAGGUAAAAUAUAAAUUCCUCAUAAAAAUUUCAUUACAUGAUUUUAAACCCUCUUAACAAUUAGAAUUUCAGUAUGGUUCGCGAAUGAUGUGGUGGACAGGGCCUAUGCAAUAGGAAAAUGCUGUAGGUGAGGCGUCACAGGUAUCCAAUCAGGAACACGCCACCACCGUGUUUAUUUAUUGACAACCUGACGUAUCUCUUUCUCCUGUUCAAACACUAUACUAAAUAAAUAUUUUAUUUGUUUGUUUAUUUAUUUUCAUAAUAAUAUAUUUGUUUAUAUGUUCCCGUGUUUUUCUCUGUCUCGGCAUAUGAGGGUGUUAAGAUCUCGUCCAAACUUUGGAAUAAAUAUGAAAUUAAUAUUAAUAUAUAUAUAUAUUAGUAUAAGGUAAUAAAUUUUGUAUUUGAGAAUUUCAAGGCGUAGAGGAUGUCGCCCACAUGCACGUCGCUACUCGAGAACUCCGAUUACGAGUUUAAAAAAAAGGGCACCUCACAAACCCAGAUGUAUUUUUAUAUUAUUUAAUUUAUUAUUAAGAUCAUGUUUUCAGAAGAUAACAAUAAAUAAAUUUUUUACAUUAUUUUUUAUUAACAAAACAUUUGGUUAGGAAAUAGGAAUAGGAAUAGGCCCUUAUUCUACUUUUAUACCCAAACGCUAAUUUUUUACCCGAGAAUAAUAAUUCUCGAUUAUUCCCACCAACACUUCUAUUUUCUAUAUAAAACUAUCUAAAAUUGUUCUUAUCCCCGAAAACAAUCCAAUUGUCAUCCAAACAUUAUUUUUUUUAUCCCCAUACUUAUACCUAUCCCUGUAAUAGCUAGUUCUUGCUUAUAUCCGAAUCAAACAGUACCUACGAGUACUACACGCUAUUUGCUGUCGCUACGAGCACGUAUUUGUGCCAUUGCUAGUACUGAGGAUAAUUUUUUUUUUUUGUUGCUAUUAGAUCAAACUUUAGGGGGUUCAAAGCAUUUUUUCCCAUGCAUCAAAUACUAGCUAUGCCACAAAAUACACCAUGAAGUUUAUGACAACUAUUUCGAAACUCUUCCCCAUGGACAUAAUUAAAAUAUAAUUACAAUACAAACUAAGACACAUGUAUGCGUAUGUACAAUAUUGACAUAUGGUGUGCAUGACAUGAAUAUGGUCAUGUGAAGUAUCUUAAAAAGUGACUUGACAACCAAAGAUAACGCUAAAUUUGUUUUUUUUUAAUCAUGCAAGAUGUACUCUGCUUGAUAAUAUCUAUGAUUUAAUGGUAUAUAUAUAUAUGUACAAUAGUAGAGAUUGGGUGUAAGGAAAGUUAAUUAAUUUUGUACUAAUUCCAUUUAUUGUUUUAGUACAAUUUGUUUUGUAAAAAAAAAAUAAUAAUAAAUCCUUGGAUGGCGAUGCAUCAUCUCCUUACGAUGUAGAAAUACACAUUAUUCUAAAUAAAAUCAUGCAAUACUAUACAAGCUGCAAUUGUUGUUGGUAUCAACAUACAUGUUGGAUGUAGUAGUAAAAGGUCGAACCCAAAACUUUUGAAAACAACUCUUGUUCAAACACUAUAGAAAAAAAAACAAAUAUAUGCUACAACUCUUACAUACGUUAAAUUUAUAAAAUGGUUGGCCCGUAUACAUCAGGAGCGUUAGAAUGUCAUGUUUAGAAUACAUAUAUUUGUACAAAUUGCUGAAACAUUGCUAAUUUUACAGAUUACGUUCCUACAGUUCCAUGGCAAAUGAUCCAAACCCAGGCUCGGCCCGUGGAACCCACUUUAACCCAAAAUAAAUAGGCAAUUAUUAUUUCAAAUGCCAAGCCAUGAAAUAAAGCUAAGAUGGACCCCGAAAACGUGCGCCCCAAAUGCUCAUGACCAACUUGUAUGGUAUUUUCAAUGACUCAGUGGUUAGCGCACUAACAAAUGCCAUUACGAUCACCUUUUUAUCUGUUUAUUCCCAUUUUUUUUCAAAAAAGGAAAAAAAAAGAAAAGAGCACUAUGAAGGAACGAAGCUAGUAAAACUAUUUUGGCCAAGAAAACUAACAGAUGAAUAUUUAGGAAAGGGGGGACCAGUUUGACUAGGACUGUUCUAUCAUCAAGAAAGAGAUAACAAUUCAGAAGCAGCUCUCUUGAUGUGCGAACAGAGAAACUCAGAGAAAGGCAUGUUCAUGUAAACACAAUAAUUGUUGACCCACACCACCACAUUGAAAAGUGUAUGAGGAGGAGAUUAAUAUGGUAAAAGAGAGUGAGGAGACAGGAAACAACCUUCCCUUUGUUUCUUCUGCUGCUCCGAGUAGGCGAGGAAAAUUGAAUAUGGAAUCCCAAUGCAUGCACAUAGAAGGGUCUCCGAGACUCGCCAAAAUAAUGGAAUGUAGGCCCCAGAUGACUAAUUGCGGUAGGUUCCACAGGUGUUUUAAUAGUUUUCACAUCCCAAGAAGCUUUACUGACCCUGCAUCCUUAACUAUAACAAACAUAAUGAACGCAGGAGGAUUGAUUACAAAUUUCCCCCUAAAAGUUCACACUUCAUUAACACAAUUGAUAAGAAUAUUUCAUCAUGUUCAUGUAAGGGUACUUCUAUUCUUGAGAUUAGAACCACCAAUAAAAGAGCAAUUUAAUGGCUCUUCAAAACGGGGAACAAGGGUGUGGGGGAAAAAGUAACAAAAAAGGAGCAACAGGAUGAGCCAGAUUAAGCAAUUCCCAAAUUCGACACAUGCUAUAAUUGAGCGCGAUUUGGCAUACUUGUUCAUAAAGAGGUCACAUUUAUGGCGUGCCUUACUCAAUUUCACAUGUAGCACUUAUGUGUUAAUAAACAUAAACAUACAAUUCCAAUGCUCUUUCUCUUUCCCAAAUCAAAAUGGCACAUUACAAAUCUUCCUAUUCUCUGCUAUAUCCAAAGGUAAUUUGAGUGUCCCUAUAUUCAUGGAUUACCAGGUUCUUUAAAAAAAAUAAAAUAAAACAAAAUUCUUAAGUGCUCUGAGAUGUAAGGGAUCAUAUAGCUUAUAGCCAUUGAAUGUGAUUAGUAUACAGUAAUAACUAUAAUACAGCUAGCAUUUAAUUGACUCUGCCGUAUCAUAAAAAAUUAUAAUCAGGCGAAUGCCUGAUAAGUAGAGAUGAAACCAUAAUGGGAUCACGUGUCACAAAAAAACAACUUAUUGUUUGAAUAAGGCACUAUAUACUAAAGGCAAUGUUAAAGUGCAAUGGUAACCAACCCAACAAAGUUUUUGCCACCCCAAGGACUUCACUAGAAAUUAUUAAAUUCAGGAACAUAGAGACUCAAAACACAAUGCAAGAGUUAAAACAGCUUUGUUAAAUAUGGUUGAGUUAAUUAGGUGUACGAGCUAAUCUCAUUAUAGAUGAAAGGGACAUUUUGAGAGAAAAAUUAUUGGACAUGUCAAAUAAAAGCUAAAUGGGCAGGAAAUGGUAUUUAUUGAAUACAACAGCUGGCACAAUGUACUUUAGCCUAGUCCAUGAAAAGGAAAUGAAGAGUCCCACAUGUAAAAGAUCUAACAAGUAUGUAUAAAUGCAGGGUAUUUCCUGACGCUUCAUUUAGGGAGCAGAUUGAGCUGUACCCGUACAGUGCUUGCUUUCAGAGGAAGCUUGUUCCCACAUGAUAAGCAAAAGCAGCUUUUAAAAUUCAGUUACUUCAAGCAAAAUACUUGCUAUUAAUAACUGGCCUCGUAGUUUUCUAAGAGACAUUAACUUUGAUAUCCUAUUACCUUAAUGAGAAAAGCAUACUCGAAAGCAGCAUCAUCACAGUGGCUAAAUCGGCCGCCCUCGCCAAAAUGGCCACCGUGCAUGUUAGUUCUAAGAAUGACCGACCGUGAACAGGAGGGGCAUGUCAUCUCCCUCACCUUUGCCACCCAUUUAGCAGCUUCCCACACUCCGACCCUGCAUGAAUAGAAGGGGAAAGCAUUUAUGUCAUAAGGUUAACAUGAUAUUUAAAACAAAGUAAUAAAGUUUUUUGGGGACUAUUGAAUAUUUAUGCUAAAGUGUUACCAUUCCCUACUAUUAUGUAAAAAAAUAGUCUACUGGUGAGAUUUCUCAACACUUACUGCCAAUAUUCCAGCUCAUUCUAUCUAUCCUACUGCUGUGCAGUAAGAUGCGUCGAUCAUUUCAGCAAUUAAAGAGCUCUGAUCGGUCCAUAAAUGGCCAAAACUAAUUCAUUCUUUGAACAGAAUUAUAAUAUUUCUUACAUAAAAUGGCAACUAGCUACUCUAGAGAAAACAAAGGUACAACUACACAGGAAGAAACAAAAAAUAUUACAUCAUCUAAAGCUUUUUCACCUAAUUUUUUUCUUUCCUCUCCUUCCUCUAUAAUACCUGCCUCUCCUUUUGUAUCAUUAUUCUAGUGCUUGAGCUUUUUACCCCAGAAUAUGCAAGCCUCUUCUACUUUAUUUCUCUUCCCGCUGAACAACUUAUUUGACAUAAUUUAGGUCUCUUCUCUUGUUGUUAUACAUAGACCCCCCCUUGUUUCCUCUGACAUGAUUUCGCAGCAUUGAUUCCAAAAACACAGAUCAAGAACCCUGUCUAAGCAGGAUACUGACUCCCAUUUCAUGCACGAUGAAUGCAGAUAGUAUUGCAAAUCAUAGAAUACAGGGGCCGACAGAUAUGAUGGCCACGUUUUUAACAAUAUUCACUUCAUAAUAGGUUGCUUUGGCCAUCUUCCACAAGGCAAGGAAGAUUCAAAAGAGAACAUACCAUCUAAGGGAGCAGACAAAACUACAGAAGAGCUAACCAUCCCCCAUCCCCUCUCUUCCACCUCCCCACCCCCCAACAGACAACUCAAAGCUAUCUCCUCCCUCCAACUAUUAAAUUAUUUUUAAAUUUUAAUGUACUAAGGAUGGCAGUUCCUACAUUACUGGCUGAAACUGGAGUUUCACUUCCUGAAUCUAUUGUAAUUUAAGUCAAUCAGCUGAAUAACUCAGGGAAAGACCACAUGAAAGAACCUUGAAGAUAAAGCCCCAUAAAAGAAAUAAAUACUGAUAUACUACUGUCCAAAUCCUUAGACCUAAAAACAGCUGAAACGGAUUGAGCUUGUUGAUACAAUCAGCAAUUAGCCAAUCCACAGAAAUAUGAUUCAGUAAGCAAGACCAUGGAACAGAACUAGAAUAACAGUGAACUGGAUAUACCUCGAGUCAUGAAAUGAUGCUGUAACCAGCAUAGAAGGAUAACAUGCCCUUGGUGAUAUAUUAUCGUAUGGUGAGUAAUCACAAAUUGCCUCAAACUCAGAUUUGUUUCUAGGGUCACCAAACUCAUCAUAGUCCAAAACAGUGAGAGGUAAACUAGGAUCCAGCAGUGUGUUGCAAAUAUCAAGAAAUGGAACCUGCUUCAAGAAUAAAAUGCUAAAGCAAAGGAACCCUCAUAAUAUACAUGUACCCAUUUACAGAUUGGCUGUACAAAAAAACAAUGAAAUAUAUCAUAAGCCAAUAUCAAUAGUCUAGGAUGAUUUGCAUGAACUUAUAUCGAAGUUACCGGAGAUCUUUAAUUAUGGCCCUUAAACAUGAAGAUCUUAAGCAAUGGAGUUCAGAUACAUAAAACUUUUGCAGCACUACCUUUGGCUUUCUGCUUACAUUCUUCAUUUGCAGCAUAGGAAGUACCAAGCUCAAAUAUACCAAAGGUCAAAUAUAGCCCAUUCCUUUUCGGGCUCAAAUAUUAUGUAUCAACAAUCAGUCUUGAUCAUGUUAGUGUCAGCUAAAUUUCAUCAGACCAAUCAAGUUUAUCAGAUCAGGAUUGGCAAACAAGGAACCAUGCAUACCAACAUCAGAAAUUGUGUGAAUCCAAUAAUAGACCAGGUUCAAGACAAUAUUAAAGGCAAUCCAGUUCCAAGUACAGAUAAGACAAAAUUUUACCAAUCUUAAACUCAAAAACUAAAUCUCAAAUAGAUUUCACAAGAGGGAUCAUAUGUUCUGAAGCUGAUUAUUUGAAAUUCACUGAUGCAGCUUCUAAAUCGACGAUCGGCUCCGUUAGACUUGAACUACACUAUUGAAAGUAUUUGGAAACUAAAUUUCAUAAUUUUUCGGCAUCAUUUACCUAUCAAACAUGUAGUCUAAAAAUGAACGGCUGAAAAUAAAAAUCUCAUAAAAAAUAAUAAUAAAAUAUUUGAAUUUAAGAUCAGAGGUACUGAUCAUACUCUAAAUAGUGAAAAAAAAAUUAUAAAAAAUUCAGCGGAUUUGGAUUGUUUUACACCGUUAAAUUCACAAACGCAUCACAUCUACCUUUAAAAUUGUCAAUUUUGAGACCUUUUGAUUACUAGCCAAAUGAUGUCGAAAAAUUAUGAAAUUUAGUUUCCAAAUACUUUCAAUAGUUUAGAUCAAGUCUAAGAGAGCUGAUCGUCGAUUUGGAAGCUGCAUCAUUGAAAACAACUUGGUAGCACGGAGGUCUCCAUGCUGCUGAUAGUAUACCAGCCUAACUCUAUAUAUAUAUAUAUAGAACUAGGCUGGAAUACUAUAAAUAGCACCAAGCCAUUGGUGCUAUUAGUUUUUUAGCCCUUGGAUUGAGAAAUGUGCGGUUAGGAUGAUGUGGGCCUCCUAGGGUUGAGUGGGUAAUUUGUUGAAUAGUAUAAUCUAAUGGGUAAAAAUAAUCAAAGGGUUAAAUCUAACGGUGAAAAACUCGAUAGCACCAAACCCUUAAUGCUAUCGAUAGUAUCCCAGCCGGACACUCUCUCUCUCUCUCACUCUCUCUCUCUCUCUCUCUCUCUCUAUAUAUAUAUAUAUAGGCAUAUACAACCACAUUAAUCAGAGCAAUAUGCUGACGAUAUCAUAAGGAUCUAAUAAGGGGGGAAAAAAAAAGAAGAUAUGUUCAGUAGCAGAACUAGUAUCAGCAGAGACAAACGAUGUAUACCUUUAAAAUUGCAGCAGAAAAUAAAUUAUUAUACAUAUUGAUAACAGCACCAACAAGAAGACCUCCUGCACUGCAGCCAAUGGCACACAGACGAUCUUUACGAAUAAAGCCCUCUGCAACAAGAUACAUGCCACAUGCAGCAAAAUCAUAGAUCGAAUUAAGCUUGUUUUCUUUGGUGCCUGCCCGGUGCACUGACACAUCCCCUCCUCCACCCCUAUUAAGAUAUAUAUUUUAUUACUCAAAAAAUGAUAACAUGUGGUAAAAUACAAAUUAUCCUAGAAAAAUCAUAUACCAAGGUAUGCUAAAACUUAAUAAUUAACAAGAGAAAAUAUACAGCUGAACAUCAUCUGAAUAGCUACCUGCUGAAAGGAAUACAGAGAAGGCACAAGCAUUGAUCAACAAAAGAGACUGAAAGUAACUAAUACUAAAGGGACUGAAGAGUAUAGGGCAACAAAAUGGGCCUUAGCAAGUACAAUGGUGAACCAGUAAUGUGGAACCAUAGAAGAAAAAUACAAUCUACAUUCUAUAAUCUAGCCACGGCAUUAGCUAGGUGAUACACCAAUCAGACCUCAAUCAACCAGUUGUAACACCUAAUUAGGUACUGAUUGGAAGUCAUGAAUCUAUUCAAAAAUUGGAAGUCAAGAAUAAGCAGGGACCCAAUGCACACAGAUUUGUCAGUCAUCAUUCAUUCAAUACCAAAUACCAGCAACAACUACACAACUCAAAAGUUUAAAAUUUUAAUUACUAAUGCUGUAUUUGCUCCAAAUAUUUGUUAGUCAAAAAUUCAGAUUAUAGCCAUCGCUUCACUUGCAUCGUCGCGGAAAACAGAUCGGCAUCUACUAUAUAUACCAAGCACAAUUGUAAAAUGGUUCAUUUUUAUGAUUAAACCUAAAAGAACAUUCUAAUUUAGUGCAACAUUCUAUGAUAUCCCUAUAAAAGAAGAAUCAGGAAUACAAUAAAUAAGUCAAGGUUGAUAAAGCACCUUCAUGAAUACCAAUGAAAACAGCAUUAGCGCAAACAUAUAGUUAACAAUAUUUAAGAAGUAAUCUGACCUGACAUCUGCAUAAGCAAGAACCCAACCUCGAGCAAGUAAGCUUAUACGAUCAGAACACCAGCUUUUAUCUAAAACUUCUCCAUAGGCUCCAUACCCAUGCAAGAUGCCAGGUGAUUCUCCAUCGCAAUAUGCUUCCCGAGAGAACAAGAUUGUUAAGGGCACUGAAAAGCCAUCAUGAGAUAUAACUUCCCUCCUCUCACAGAAAUACGACUCAGAAAGAUCUCCCCAACUUUGUGAGUCUUCUAUAUUGUGCAAGAAUUGAUAAGAUUGACUGCUUAAACAGUUGGAUUGCAAAUUUAAACUAUGAGAAUUCGCAUUAUUUUGGUCAGUUAAGCCCAUGACUUCUUCUUGAUGUAGGAUAGUAAACACUUGCUGUUCCAUGUCGUAAUCAACUGUCAAAUCAGGGAUCUGGUAGAUGAGAAAAGGUUAAAAUACAUAAGGACAUCAUGGCUUAUAUUGGCAUAACACCUUGAGCAAAUUAAUUAUAAAUAAUCAUACUAACUGACCGGUAAUAUUAAGACCUACUGCCAAAAACUUACACUCCACUAGUACUUUGCUUUUUUCUCUUUUUUUGUCUUAUCUUAAGAAGUUUGAGCUUGCAGAUCAGUCAAUACAAGAAGAUUAGUGUAAGUCCAUCACUAGGUGGUUUCACUACAAAGAACAUGAGGAAAAACAAAAUCAUAUUGCUCCACAUUUUCCAGCAAUAUUCUCGCAAGCACAUAACAUGAGAGACAACAACAUUGUGAACAGUCAAACAGAUGAAAGGGCAAACCUAAUGAAAAUGAAAUUUCUCCAUGAAAAAACAAACUGAAUUAACAUCUAAAUUGGUUCCUAAGAUGAAAGUCAAUAGACUAUCAAACUCGAAUAGACGAAAUAGAGAAAUUCUAGAUUUUAUCACCGUAGGCAGAUAGAUGAAAUAGAGAAAAUUCCAGAUUUUAUCACCGUAGGCGGAUAGACGAAAUAGAGAAGUAAAAGUUGUACCACUGGUGAUGAUACCACAACACGGUACACGGAUGACAGGAAAUCAUUGUUUGAACCUGGAGUAAUAUUGCACAAGCUGGAGGGUAGAGGAAAAACCCAUGCAUUGAAAUCCUUAACUUUCCUAGGUCCCUGCAGAGAAAAGAUUAGAGGGUUUACAAGUAAACUAAAAUACAAAUAAAAUAUAUAGGAGAAGGAUGUUUAGAAGGCAAUAGAAAAUUAUCAUUCCUAAGAUGACUACGGUUGGAUUCAUAGCUGAAUUCAGACAGCUAGGCCCAAAGAUCUGGUAACACUAGAACAAUCUGAUUGCAAUUUCUCUACUUCUAUCGAUACAGUCAUACAAUUUAACCAUGUAUCAAGACAUACGAAUGGCUUGCAAAAGCUUCCAAAGGAAAGUCAAGCAUGUAGUCAAGAAAGCAACUGCACAAAAAAGAUGUUUACAGGUUAUAAGCGGAAGCCUGUGACAGGGAUCAGAAUACUAAGUUCUUGGUGUUAACAGGCACCAUGUGACAUCUGAACUGAAAAAUAGUGCAACCGAGGGACUAGAAUAUACCCUACAACAGAUGUCUCUUUAGAUUGACCAAGUUACAACACUACGGCCCGAGUUUGAAAGUAUUUCACUCCUACCACAUCACAUAAAGAGAUUCAUAGCUAAGCAAAUGCCAUAGAAAAAGCUAGAUAAUUUCAGAAGUCCAUGGCAAUCGCUUGCUUGUAUAUGCAAUAUUGGACAGAUUUACUGAUGAUCAAAACCUCAAUAUUAUCGACAAUCGGCAUAUCAAUGGAGCAGAAUAACGGAAGCCCCUUUUUUUGAAGAAAAAGUACUAAAUUUCCAUGAAACAUGUCCAUAUCCUGAAAGGUUGUAUCUUGAUCGGGAAGAACAACAGCCUGAAAGAAGAGACGUGAAUAACUCUAUCAAAAAUAAAUCUUGCAUAGAAAUAUGAGUAAGCAACAUGAAUUGUCAUUUAAGAUUAAAGAAAAGUUGCAUAACCAAAUGGCAAAUUGCACACAGUUACAUCGUGCAUGGUAAAAAAUGUUCUUAACAUCAUGUAUCACAAAGUGAAUGGUGCUCUUAUUUGCUCAUCCAUAUUCAAAAUAUCUUGCCAACUUGCUCUUGCCAUAUUGACGAUUAAGCCGAUAUAAAUAAUGACAUGUAACACUCAGAAAAUAAAAGGAGAAAAAAAAAAAAUCAAGGAUGCAUCCCACCUUCAGCAUGUCAUCAGUCGUAAGUAAUAGUGAGUGCAUUUCUCAUGAGCCUAUUGAUGUGAUACUGGGAAAGCCUCACUUUAAGACACGAAGCAGUAGAAGCACAACUUAGAGUGUGAGUAGGAAUUCAUACAUCACCAUAAUAAAGCCCAAAGGUGCCGAUGUUAUGACAAAUUAGUAGAGAUAUCUCCUUUAAAUAAGAUCAUACAACAAAAUGAUCAAAAAGAAGAAUAAACAACCAAGCAAGCAUCAUUUCUUUUUAAGAGUCUCAGUUUCCAACUGCAAAAUAUGAAUUGAUAUAAUAGGUUGUUUGUGUUUUGCAUAGAAUAAAUUAGAACAUAAGAAAACCAGGAAGAUCCAUUUCCCUAAUGAAGAAUUCAGGUAAAAUCUUAGUUUCUCUAGAUAAUCACAUCAGUUUUGUAAUCAUAGUGAGUCUAAGGUCAUCACUGUUAUGAAGAUACUGAAGUGAUAAAUUAUACGUUUAAACUAAUGAAUUAAACUGCAAGCAUUAAUCUCCCACGCCAAGAUAUUCAAGGACCAUAACAAACAAGUAUACUUGCAUUCUAAAACAGUUGAGCGAACACUAACCUGCCAUUUGUCCAGUAAUGACUUUUCAGCCCUACAUCUAGCUAGAUAAUAUCCCCCACUAGUUGACACCAUGUUCUCUGAAGGAGCGUUAGUAAGUAUAUAGAAAAAACCAUAGUGAUGUUCCAAAAAAUAUUGCACUCCAGACAUGCGUUUUCGUACUGGCCAUAAACCCCCUCUAAUAUUUGUUGAAUUCAGUACAUAGACCUGUAAUGAGAAAACAACAACAUCAUGAGGUUGCAAGAUGUUAUAUAUAUGUAACCAAACGAAAUCUCACAAUAUAAGAUCUAUCAGGAGGAAAGAGACAAGAAAGAGUAACCUUCCUCAGAUGAUGUCCUUGAAUUAGAAUUAAUGGUAAUAUAUUUUGAAUCUUUUGUGCUAGUGAUAUCCACACAGUAGUUCAGAUCAUGUUCGGUAAAAAUAGGAUCAUCCGCAUUAUCUGAUCCCAGUAUUUUACAGAGUACCCUGCAAAACUGAAAGGAGUAAAAAUCCAAGAAUGGAAUGGCCAUAUCCAAGCUAUCUAUAAAAUAUUCAACAGCAUCUAAGGACAAGGGAAAAGAAUUACUUGUAGGGGCGCUGAGUCUCAUCACAAAUGGUAUAUAGUAAAGAACCACUAUCUCCAGCCCAUGUUAAGCUAACAACAUUCUGGUUUUCUGAACUUGAAAUGAUGUGUUUAGUUUGGAGGUCUUUCACUUGAAGCGCAAAAACUUCACUACCAGAAGUAUCCAAAGUAUAAGCAAGGAACUUAUGGUCAGGAGAAAUCCGACAAGUCCCUAUGUGAACAUAGCCUGUAUGAAUUUACAACAAUUAUUAGAAAAGUCAUAGUACAUGCGAAAAAGAAUUAUAUGGAGAGAAAAUUUGUAAUCUUCAAUCCACCAUCACAAUUAGAAGACUAACAAGGGCAAACAAAAAUUCAAUGUGUACCAAAGAUGAUGUAAAAAAAUCAGCAUGUAGAUAAGUCUGCGAGACGGAGAGCAGUUAACAUCAUAAUGGAAGACUUUAAAUGUACGAAAUCUGAUUUGAUCAAUCUAUAACAUCAGAUAAAAGGUUUAGGCAGACCACUAUCAAGUAAAAACAUUUCAUAAAUCUUGGUCGGAACCCAUAAGGACCUACAUCGCAUGUAAGAAACUCCAGACUUCCAAACCAUACAGCAGAAAGUUAAUGUGAAAGUACACCAGAAAAGGCUCAAGUCAAAAGCACAAACCAAAUUGUUCAGCAAUUUCAUUCCAAUCCAACAAAACUUCUUCUUUUGAAAAGCGAUGCAUGUAACCGAGAAGAGUCUUAACUAGACCAUCAGGAUGGCUGAACUUCCUGCAUAAAAUUGGAUACUCCUUCCCCUCCGGAAUAUACUGGUAAUAUAGCCUGGCUCCACAAAUAAAGGUGCAUUUCAUAUUAUAGCAAAAUGAUUUAUGAUUGUAUAUGUCAAACUCCUAAAAGUGCCGACAAUUAACAAAUAUCAAAGGCUAUCAUAUUAACAAUAUCAGAGCACCAUGAUGGUGUAAAACAUGAUUCUUCGAGUUUGUUGACAUACUCCAAUUUUCUUGCAAGAGUAAAUAUAGAGGAGAUGUAAAUUAGAACAGAUGAAUGCCAGAAAGAUAUUUUAUGCAAGUAAGAACUAAGAUCUUCAAUUAUGGUACGUGCCCAGAAGAAAAAUAAUCUCUUUUUUUAUGAAGAAAGAAAAAUGAGCAUUGUUCAAAAGUACUUCUCUUCUUUUUUUUCUCCUGACGUUCUUACGUGAAGAUGAAUCACGGAAUAAUCAAAAGAGAAACCUUAUUAUCAUAUGACGAAAGAAUGUAAUUAUCUGAUGUACAACUAAUGCUUUAGUCCUGUAGUUUCAAGAAUCUUCUUAAAAGGCAUGCAAUGUUGCCAUGAAGAACAUAGAAAGAGGCUUGUAAACAAGCACCAUUUAUUCCUACCUACAAAUUUUUUCUAUACUUUUAAGGAAAGGAAGAUGAAUUAUAGUUGUAGCGGAAAGAGAACGCCUUUUUCUACUGUGGCGACAUAUUGACAUUGCCCUUCAUAUGAGUCUUACUAUCAAGAUACUAGCAAGCUACAUUGUGCUCGAUCUUAGAAAGAACCGAAAAGGAAUGGCACAAAUUGCCGAAUGAAUAAACAAUCAAAAGAGUAGCAAAUUAAUAUCGAGUUACCCAAAAAGAACAAUGCAUAUAGUUCUGUACUCGCUUCUGAUUCAAACUCUUCUUUCCUUGCAAACUUAUGCAAGAACUAAUGCAUUAGGACGCCCAAGAUUCGUUUUUUUUUUUUUUUUACAAAAAUUUCUAAACUUGGUACUUAGCAGGCGCCUUCAUGGUUUCCAGAGCCAAAAGAGGAAGAAUUGAAAAUAAAAUAGAAGGAUUUGGAUUAGGGUUCGAUCGAUACCAAGGGCCCCAUCGCUCGGGUGGAGUGGCGACCGUGGCGGGGACCCGAGCCCUCAUCUCGGCGGCAAGCUGCCUCCGGAGUCCGCAGGCCUCGGCCAUGAAGGCGUCCGCGUAGGCGUUCUCGCGGUCGAGGUGGUCGCGGAGAUCGGGGUCGUCGGUGUUGCGCAUCCAGUGGUAGGGAUCGUCCCACGUCCUCCCAUGGGUGGCGACGGUGAAAGGGAUCUUCUUGGGAGUCGGCGGUGAUCUCAGGGAAGGAGACAAAAGUGCCCUCGCCUUAUUACACGAAGAAGAAGAGUAGGUGGAGGAGGAGGAGAGGAGGACGAGAGGAGAGAGCGUUCGCAGACUGGGGGAGACUAGGGUUUUGGUCCUAAGCAUGGCGAUGGCGCUGUUGAAGAAGAAGAAAAAGUUGAAGAAGAGAGAAAAGAGGCAGGGCCACGGGCCGGGCCCGGGAGAGGUACAAGGAGGGUUUUAGAACUUUAUAGGAGGUUACGAGAAGAAAAGUCCCACAUCGGAAAAGGAAAUGAAUAGCAAAGGGCGGACGUUGUAUAAAAGGAGAGGAGGGUGCUUAAUUCGAAAUUUAAAAGGGUCGGUUGGCUAUGUAUGCCACUCCCAUCCUUUGAUGAUGGGUGCUGUAUGGCUAUCAAGACAUAUGGCCGACAUAAUUUGUGGGCAUCCCUAGGGUUGGCUCGCUCGGCCGACCCUCCAAAACCGCAUCGUAAAUAAAUUUUGUUACAACUACUUUUGUUGAUUUUCUUGCAAAAUAUUUUUAAAUUUUAUUCAAUUUUCUCAUAAAAUAAACUUUUUAUCGAUAAGUUAAAUUUUAAUACGGAAAAAAAUUGUAUAUAUAUAUAUUGUAUUAAAAGUCGGACUCUUGAUUAUAAAGGAAAGAAAGCAUGGAAAAGAGGAAAAAUUUAAAUACCACUCUUGUAAUUUUAUAUUUUCUCAUUUAAAUAUUAUGUGUUAUAAAGUAUAUCAAUUUAAUAUCCUGUAAUUUUAUUUUUAUUUUUUUAUUAUUUAUUUUAGUAAUUUUUUUUAUUAAAUUAAUGAUAAAGUUAAAACUAAAGAGUAUUAAAGUAAAUAUUUUAUAAAUCUAGAUGGAAUAUCUUAAGCUUUUUUAUAUAAUUUAACACGAAAAGAUAAAAAUGAAAUCACAGGUACUAACUUGAUACAUUUAAAGCCGUAGGAUACUAAAAUGAGAAAGAACGAAACUACAUAGGAUAUUUAAAGUUUAUUCUAUUUUAAAAUAUGCUUAAAUGAAAACUAUAUUAAGGAGAACCUUAAUUGGGCCAUAUAGGGCCGGGCCUGGUUCUGGGCCAUGAUAUGCACGCCCAUCCAAGCCCAACCAAUCCCAAGAUAGACACAGCAGUUUCUCAUAUUCACACCCAAUCUAAAUCGAUCAAGCGGGGCCAGAUCGAGUCGGCUGGGCCGGACUGGGCCAACAAAAGAAAUCGAGAGCCUGGGUGUGGCAUCACGAGUCAUGUCUACCAGUACCACUAGUGUGAUUAGGCUCGUCUAUACAUACGCCCUUCGUUCCAUCUCAUACAUGUAAUAAUUUAACCAUUACACUCAGAAAACAAACUGUAUUAUCGUCGGUGUUUGAGUCCAUAGUCUCUCAUAAGAUAUGAGAGGAAUUCAUGGUAUUUGGCUAAACUCUUACUAGUUUUAUUAUCUAUAUAUAUAUAUAGGAGUUGUGCAUUAUCAUUAUUGUUGACUAGCUGUUUUCUGGAUCAGUCCAUAGAGACAUAAUUGCGGGCUCCCCCGUGCCGUUAACAUGGGGAAAAAUGGCUGUCCCGCGACGACGACGACGACUAAUUAACGCAAGAUAAACAAGAAGCAACCAAUGAUCGCGACCUUGAUUUCGACUCGACUCAGAUCUUUUUAUUUUUCCAAUCUAGAUUGAUCGACCGGCUAAACAGUUGUAGCAUCAGCUGAAUCGGUCUUACGAGUUCGUACCGAAAACCGCUGCACUAUAAGUCUAUACUCAUGACUACAUACGGGUCGCGGAGAAAGAUUAAAAAAAAAAAAAAAAAAAAAAACUCUCUCCUUACAUUUGCUACCUUUGCCUUUACAGGCAUACUUAAGAAUUUUUACAGCUGGGACCCUAAUUCNAAAAAAAAAAAAAAGAAGAGACAGAACAUGCCAAGCCAUUUUCUUGUGUCACUUUCAUGAACCAUGGGUGGUUUGGCAGUAGAUGUUUUGGAAGGCCCUCUUCACUGUUAAGAAAAUGACUCUGAAGGCUUCUUGUUCAGCUGCAGUUAUGGAAGGGUUGUUGAGGAAUGAACUGAGCACAGGGUUCUGAAAAAUGACAGGGGAGGGGAGGGGGAACAUCUUGUUAUGGGGAUCCCAGGCCAAAGAAAGCAAUAGCUUUGGGGCCUUGUUGUGUUUGCAGGAGGGUUCUGGGCACCAUGUGCUGGGCUUCAGUUCCAAAAGCACUUCCAGAAUCUAACCAUGUGGGGCUUUUCCCAUUCUCCCCUCACUAUUCUACAUUCUCUGCCUGUGACUUUGGAGGUAUAACAUCCCUUAAUUCAAGGGAUUAUGUCUUGGUUAUACUGUGCAUGACUGGUGGAGUGGUCUCCUCUGUGGAGAUUCACCAACUCACUCCUUUCUACAUUUAUUUUAAUCUUGUAGUUGUUGCAUAAAGUAUUAUUUUAAUCUAUACUAGUCCAGUUAUGUUGCUUAAGCUAGUGCCAUGCUGGUUCUCUCUGCAUGUGCAUGUGAUGUGGUUUCAGAACAUCUUUAAUUUUUACAAUUAGUUUCUUUACUACAGUUCUUUCACCGAAUUGAACUGCAACAUAUACGUAAUGCCGUAGCGAUUAUGUCGACGCAGUCGUUUGAGAAACUUAACAAUGAACAGUUAUAAGUAAUCUCUGUAAGCUGUAGUUAUAUACUUCGAAUGUUUUGUGUGAUCUUAAACACUAUGAUUGGGGAUUAUACUUGGUGGACACAGGACACAAUGCAUGUGGGAGGGGCAUGGAUGCAAUUUUAGUGCGAAAUCCAGCAUGGGGCCCACCAGCCCAAUUGCCCAAUUAAUGCCAAAAGUGCCUGCCUCUCUAGCCUUACCUGUCACUGAAAAUACUCUGGCCGCAUACCAUAGCCAAAAUUAUCUGGCACAAUGCCCAUCUCCUACCCUGAUAUUGUAAUGGUUAAUUUUUUGAAAAACAUAUUGCUAAUAAUUCAGUGUCUUUAAAUAACGGCGCAAUUUUAUAAGAACCGCAAUUUGAAUUCAGAUCGAGUCUAUGUCAUACUGAUCAAUUUUACACAAGAGAGAGGCUUGUGCGCAUUUUGUAAGAUUAUAUUCAAAUCGUGCUUAGAAGUACCGUCCCUAUAUAAUAUAUAUAUAUAUAUAUAUAUAUAUAUAUAUAUAUAUAUAUAUAUAUAUAUAUGUAACACAUGGGGCAUUAAAUUAAAGAUCCUAUUUCCACUUGUAAUUUUCGCUCAUUAAUUCUAUUAGAAAGAGAAUUAACAAGUAAGCCAUUAUUAUAUAUGAAUUGAUGACUAAUUUUCACAUUCGAUGUAUGGUUCAAAUUGUGAGAGCUGUGGCUACCAUUAAUCGGACUAGAGAUAUGUAGUUAUGGAGGAUAGCGACGUCCACCAACAAUAGCAGCUCAACAGGGAUGGGAUAGUGAGAGAAUUGAAAGGAACGAUGUGCAAUCACCAACACAUCAUACAUAUAACACAAACAUACAUAUGUGUGUAUACAUAUUGCAUACUAAACAACAACUUCACUCGUCUCUUCGCUGUUAUUCGGAAUGCCGACUAAAAUAUCGGGAUUCGAUAUCUGUUUGUGCGUUUUGUAAAGCUCGUAUCUCUACUAUAUCGGAUAAUAGAUUAGGUAUAGGUUCGUACGUACAAGAUACGAGAUCAAAAGAAAAGAAAAAAAAAAAAACUACUUUACAUAGUAGAGUUGCACGGUUUGAGAGAACGAUAGCAAACUACUUGCUUCGUCUAUUUAUUUUAAAAAAAAAUGAACUCAGCUAGAUAUGUGAAACAACAAGAUCUCGAACUUGGAACAUCGAUCGGGUACCAACUAUCUAAUCCUUAGCCAGUUGCGCUAAGUAUAGUCGGUGAUCCUUGCGAUAGGGAUUGGUGAGAGAAUAUGGAGGGUCCUCUUUAUGAAAUGGACUAGGUGGAAGUCCAACUCCUCACCUAUAGAGAUAGAGAUGAGAUUAUACAUAAAUAACAUGCGUGAGUUGGAGAAUAGCAAAUCACUUAGAAGGGCUAGUUUGGGAAAUAGUAUUAUGGGAACCCACCACCAAACUCCACCAUCCCAUGUGCAUCCACCAUGGGCCAUGGGCCAUGUUCAUUCCCCCGUGCCUUUCAAAUAGCAAUUCUUUGUCCUUCUUCAAAGAUAGCUCCAGUCUCUCUCUCUCUCCCUCCAUGUCCUCUCCCUCUCAAUCCCUCGAUAAAUGCCGAUAGUUAUUUGUACUUGAUCUGACGGAUCGUAAUGAGAAGAAAAAAAUUAUACACUGUAACGCCAAACUACUGGAAUUUUUAGUUGUAAAGCAUGAGAUACACCGACCGUUCCUAAAGCAAAUGACAAAGGGCUUGGUGGUUGGUAUCCGAGACCCAAAUUCGAAUCCUAGUUGAUUCACGUUUCUAGUUAAGUUUAUCUCUAAAUGAAAUAAACGAAGCGUGGAUCGUGCUACCUCUCUCUAAAAAAAAAAAAGAAAAGAAAAAAGCAUGAGAUAGGUGGGUGAGGGCGUGGAUAGGAGUACUAUACGUGAGAAUUCAAAAUAUGUACACUAUGAUGUUUAGGGCGCUAACUGGCUAAAGUCAUGUUUGAUUAAUCUCUAAAAAUGUUCUUGAGAAAUCAACAUUGCAUGCAUUUGGGAGUUGGUGAUCGAUUUAAUUUUAAUUUUGAGCCUUGGUUAAUUACAAAUUGCAAACAUAGUUACAAAUUAAAUACAUGUGAAUUCUCAGUAAGAGAAAUGCAAAGCCGAUCGUACUAGGCACUUGCUGAAAGUCUUAAAUCUGCAGUCACCAAAUUGAAGUUCUCAUCGUAUUAGAAUAUAUAUACACCUUUAACACAUAAACAAAAAAUGCGUAAUCAUAACGGUAUUAUAAAAUGUAACUUAGACUUCGUUUGAGAUUGUGGGGAGAUUGCGUUACGUACGAUCAGAAAGUACGUUAGAAAAGUAUAUUGUUUGUUUCCGUACAUAAUAUCGCGUUCUGCAUAUCGCGAUGAGUCGGUUAGGGUAUAUUUUCUACAGUUCUACCGGAAAACGCAGAAAUAUAUCCCUAUAUACUUUUACACCAACUCUAUUUUAUCUAAUAGCGUCACAUAGGCUUCAAUACUAGACUAAGUGUGCUAAUGAAUCAGUUUAUACACAUCAUAGUUUGUUUAUCAAUUUAACAUCUAAUUAACGGGUCAUCCUUGAUAUUCGACAAUUUAAUUUAUACUUAGCAGCAGUUAGCUUACUAGCUACUUGAGCUGAUCCUCGAUGUGAUCAUAAAAUAAUAAAAUAUUGUGUUUAGUUAAUAGUAUCCUUGAUGGGGACUCAACAUUGAUUCUACCGCAUAAAAUUUAUGGCUUUUUAUUUUCACAAACAAUCUAACACUAAGUCAAACUCAUCUAAAUUUUUAUAAUGAGUUAUAGAAAAAUACUGCAUGUACACACCUAUUUAGACAUUAUAAAUCUUACACCCCAUAUUUAUAUACUAAAAUUUCUAAAAUUUUGUAUAUUUUUAGUAUAAAAAAAUUUUGAUAGCACAAAUAAAAAACAUGAAUUGUCGGGUGAGUAAAUUGUAAAAUAUACACAUAAUCUAAAGUGUACAAACAACACAGUUUUAAAAAUAUAAUAGCAAUAGGUCAGAAACCUCAAUGUCACGCAACAUGGUCAUUAUUUUUGUAGGUACAUUAGAUGCAUCAUGCAUGACAUCAUGCACGCAUGUAUGAUAUAGCCGAACAUUAAAACUUAUUUGAAUCGCAAUUAAUAGCCACCUUACUAGCCUUCUCAAUUCAGGGUCAUUAAAAAAUAUAUGGAAACUAUUGCUUGUAAAGCCUAGCUAUUUAUGUACUUAAAUUAUUGCAAGGCAAAAAGGGGAAAUAAAAAAGGUAUCUAAUCUAAUGCAUAUAAUAAUUUCCAUGAAUUCGGGAUAAAAAAUGUGGGGAAAUUAAAGACGAUGAGCUCAAUUGCGGUUUCUUACACAUUUUGUUUCCUAUAAUUUGAAAAGAAAAUAGAACGAGGUAAUAAUUUCACCGAACAUAUAUAUCAUUGUAACAAAGGAAAAUCCGCAUCAGUAGAUAAGCUGAUUCUCAAUUUAAAAAGGCCAAAGAAUUGAAUUCUUAGCCACCGUUUGGUUGGGGGUUAAGGGGUGGAAUAACCCCUUAACCCCCAAUUUAUACUCAAACACCACUCUUAAGGGGUGGGGUUUACUAACCCCACCCCAAAUCGGAUUAGUGGGGUUUACUAACCCCACUGCCCCUCCCAACUUUAACCCCGCACGCAUCCCGAGCCCUCACAUUUUUCUUCUUUAUUUAUCAUUAACCCCACUCCCCCUCCCAACUUUAACCCGCACGCAUCUCGAGCCCUCACAUUUUUCUUCUUUAUCAAUCAUUAUCUUCUUAUCCCACCUACUCCAACCAAACACUUUUUUUCACUAUCCUAGACUAACUCCAGCCUCCAACCAAACACAAAAAAAUUUUAACACCAUUUUAACCCUGAACUUAACCCUAUCCCUGGAAUAGCUACUUUUUCUUAACCCCGAACCAAACGGUGGCUUAAGACUUGGAUGGGGUUUCUAAAAAUGGUAACAAAUAUAUAUUUGAAUGAGCGAGCUAGAAGCCUAGAAUUGUGUCCAAAAUGAUGUCAACAUGAAAAACUGCAUGAUUGUUAGGGCUAGUUUUUGCAUACAAAUUAAUCAGCAGAUAUUUUGUAGAGUAAUAUUGUCAGUUUCGAGUAGUACAAAGUAAAAUUUAUGCCAAUUAAUUAGCAUCAUUACAGCAACCACUAAUGCUAAAUUGACUCAAAGAAAGCGAGGCCACAAAUAAUUAGGCUAAUUAAUGCAUGCUAACCUAUUACUCAUCUAUCCAUGGGCAAGGUAUGGAGAAGAAAAUCAAAUCAAAUAAACUUUCCUCCAUAGCAGAUUAGGUGCUGCCACGUGUGUAAUGAAUUUCUCACAAAAAUACAUAAUUUUGGUACUGUGCAACAUAGCUGUUCACAUUUGAUGCAGAAAUUUUCUGCGCACCAGAUUAUAGAAAAAUAAUGCUGGCCUUCAUGUUGAAGUUAAAGCAGGGCGAGUUUCCUCGGAUGUCAAAACAUAAAUUGUUCGACAAAAGAAAAGAAGAGAAGAGAAAAGAAAAGAUAAAUUCUACGCAUGCACUACCGAUAUAAAAAAAAAAAAAAGAAUAGAUAUUAUUUAAGAUGAGAUCUACAUAACGGCAGUAUAAAGACAAUUGGUACCAAAAUAUAGCAAACUUAUAUAUCAAUACGUAUUUUUAACUAUGCACACAAACAGCACCAAAGUGAUGUUAUAAAGACAAGAUCGAUCGAUGCCAAACAAUAGAGUAAUCAAACACUCGGAAUUGAAAACAAAUAAAAUUUAGAAAAAAAUUCUUUAUUGAUGUGGUCUUAUCCAUAGAAUAGUGCUUCGCACUAUGCAGGUCCCUUAUCCUUGAUCUACAACUACAAUCCUUUGUUAUUCUUAUCGAGAAGGAAUAAAUGCCUUAGUAAAUUGGUCGCGCAUGUAUAGUUCCGCAGAAUAUCGUUACACGGAAAUAAUGUAUUGCACUAUUCGCAGCCGAAGCAACAUUGCGAGAUGCAUAUUGUGUGGCUUACAUCUCUCGUCGUCGUCGCGUCACUACCCAAGUCUCUGUGUAAGUUACCCGAGUAAGCACGGCGAAGACCGGUAGUUUUCAACUUAAACAAUCUAUGUGCGGCGUUCCGGUUUGUUGAUUCCACCGGAUCACACUAUCUCAGGCUGAUCAACAUCAGUCGUUUUCUCUCUGAUUAAUCGUGAGAAUAGAAAGGAAAUGUAGAGACACCUCUAAAAAAAAAAUAUGUGUCCCCGUGGUUUUUUUGUUGCGGACUUUGUGGACCAGGUUCAGGCAAUAAAAAGCGUUUUAAAGCGGUGAGAGGUUAAUUUGGGGAAUGGGGGGGACGAGACGUGGCAGUAGGUCCGUACGGGACGGAACCUCCCACUGCGAGCAAUCAUUGGGCGACCGACAAAUGGGAGCGCGCGACGUGGCGCGUCCAGAACCACCCGCCUCGGGAGACGCGAGGCGCAGCGGAUGGGCCGACAGGGGUGGCCCGCCCCGCCGAAGAUCGACCGUCCACGUGUCGCCAUCUCGCCGCCCCUCCGCCGCAGACGUACGGCUUCCGCCCUUCCUAGGCCCCGACCAUUUGUUAGAACUUACGACGGGGGGAGAGAUAAGGCGGGAGUCAAUUUCCCAGUUCCCACUCGUCCUUUGUUACCGCAGAUCGCGGACGUGUGGUCCCCAGUCCCCACCACACCCGGUGAAGAAGUGAAAUUACGAAAGUACCCCACCCCUGGGGCGUUGUAUUAAGCAAAGUUGCUCUCCGUCGUAUUCUUCUUCUCUGUUUCCACUCCACACUGUUUGUUUAGCUAGUAUUUUACCGUUGGCUGGUUGUGUAGAUACAGUGGCGAAACGAGGGUAUUUUUGUAAAACGAACCUCCCUAGAAGAUAUUUGCUCUAUGGCUUGUGUGUGAGGAGGAGAGGAGGAUCAGUUGCUGUGAGAGAAAGAGAAAGAGGAAGAGGAAGAAACAUACCUCUCGCUUCCCGUCGGAGAAAGAGAAAGAGAAAGAGGAAGAGGAAGAAGAAGAAGAAGAAGAGAGAAAGCUUCCGAAGCUUCCGGAAGGUUGUAGAAGGUUCCGUGCAUGCGGAUGCAGGAGUUCGGAUCCGAGGGGGGCGUGGGGCGCGUCUUCGGCGCGGCGGAGCUGCAGAGGCCGAUGGGGUACCUCGCGGGGGCGGCGCCACCGCCGCCGCCGCCGCCGCAGAUAAAGUGCCCGCGGUGCGAGUCGACGAACACCAAGUUCUGCUACUACAACAACUACAACCUCUCCCAGCCCCGCCACUUCUGCAAAUCCUGCCGCCGCUACUGGACCAAGGGCGGCGUCCUCCGCAACGUCCCCGUCGGCGGCGGCUGCCGCAAAUCCAAACGCGCUCCCUCCAAACCCUCGUCGUCCUCUCCCUCCGCCGCCGCCUCCACGGCUGCGGCGAGCGACAAGGACCUCCGACUCCCCUCCUCCUCCUCCAGAUCCAGCAGCGACAGCUCCACCCUCACUGCCGCCGCGGACCACCCCUCCGGCCCAAACCCUAGCCCUAAUCCCUUCGAAACCCUCCCCCAAGUCCCCAGGAUCUUCCCCGAACCCUCCGGAACCUUCGCGAACAUGAUGACGCCGGGAUCGGGGGUUCUAGAUCUCGGCUUCUCCCACCCGGCGCCGGCUCCGCUCCAGUCGCAGCAGCCGAAGUCGGCCGCCGACGACGCGAUCGGGGCGCAGCAGGGGUUCGCGGAUCAGACGGUCGGCAUGGAUCUGACGCCGCCCUUCCAGGGCCGAUCCAACGGCGGCGGCGGCGGCGGCGGCGGCCUCACCCUCAACGGUCUCGAUUGGCCUGCUACGGUGGAUCCGACCCUCUUUGAUCUCUCCGGAGCCGUCGAUCAUUGGAAUCCGAGCCACUGGGGAGACACCGACCCUUCUCUCUAUCUCCCUUAAUUAAUUAUUAUCUCUCCUAUCUCUUAGUUACAAUAAUCAUCAUCGAAACUUUUUUUCAUAUUUAUUUUUAUUUUCCAUUUUCAUCCUCCCUUUUGCGUGGUACUGACCUUCUUAUUCAGCGUCUUCCAAAAUUAUUGAAAAAAUUGGAAGAAAAUGGAGGGAUUUUUUUUUUCUCCUUUUUUUUUAAUUAAAUCAAUAUUCGGCUUCGCAAGUUGUUAAUUACGUGUUAAUAUUUAUAUAUAUAUAUAUAUUGUUGACUCCUCGCCAUUGUUAUGACACCGUAAUUAAGUAGGGUUCGGUGAAUCGGCAUUUAGUUUCUUAAUUAAUUAACUACGUAAUUAAUUAAGGAUGGUAUUGUUGUGAGAUAUUUUAAUCCGGGGGUGGUCAAGCGUGAGAAGACGACGGUUGGCCACGUCAGCUGAUGGGUCCGCGGGCCCCACACCACCGCCCCAUGCGGGGCUUCCCUAAAAGGUUUAUUUUUUUGUGCGGUACAGCUUCAACCCCAGCGUCUCACUCUCAUACGACGUGACGAGUUUUGAUUGGGCGGAGGAUUAUGCGGGCGGCCGUAUACGAUUCCGCGUGCGUAGGUAUAAACAGCUCCUCAAGGCUCUAACCACUAUUUUAUGCAACGUCGACGUACGCUGUAGGCUUUUGAAAUUAUGCGAUAGUUUUAUGACCAAAAUGUACGAUGUGUGUGAACUUGGUUUUGAAUUAUUAGUAUUUUCAAAUUAGCUUGUGGUUGUGGGGUUAAUUAUUAUUUAGUGAUUUAUGUGUUGCUCAUAAAUUUGAUAUCUUUUUUUCUUUUCUAUAAACACCUAGCUAGUACAAGGACGUAAGUAAACCUCCACUUUGAAUUGUUAAUUUUAGCUGCAACGAACAGAGUUUGUUGCGCGUCAUGCAUGUGCGCUGCCGCAUCAACAACGCUUCAAAUAGUGUUGCGAGGACAAGCGCAAACAGCGAUCUUAUUAAAGUUGGUUAUUAUUAUGUGCGUGUACUUUGUACGACACCGGAUGUGUCACGUAACUCACAGGUUAAUUGUAUCUCACCAAUAAUGUAUGAUGAUUUAUUAUUAUUACUUUUUUUCUCAUCCGAGAGUUUGAUUUGAGAAAUUCGGGUGCCGUGACUCGGGCAGCACCAAGGACUCGGCUGCGAUCUGCUGCGCGCACCCCACCAGCUGCAGUUCAUAGACCACAUAUCAUGAGAGGAAGUGCGAAGCUCUGGUACCUUGGAUGUGUACAGAUUAUUAUGAGAAAUAAAUGUCGAGGCGUAGUGCGAUCCGGUGCUGAGUCCUGGUACCUUCGGUGUGUACAGAUUAUAGUAGAAAACAGAUUGUCGAGGUCUAGUACGGCCGGCGGUGAUCAGAUCUUGGUGUGCAGAUUAUGGACGGAAAAUUGUCGAGAUUCAGUACGACCGGCGGUGAAGAUCAAGAUCUCGUGUACAGAUUAUGAAAGGAAAAUUGUCGAGGUCCGCUGCGACCGGUCCCGAGCUCUGGUACCUCGUGUGUCUGGUGCAGUACGAUAAGAGCUCGUGAUCCCUCUUGGAGGGGCUCGUAAGUUGUUCCCUGUGCUUGUAGCAUCCACGCCCUUCAUUUUUUCGGACAUGAAAAGUUAGGAUGAAACCUUGAUCUUUUUUGUGCAGGAAGGUUUACAGAGACUCUGAAAUCUCAAGUUUAGCUUGCUUAAUUUGGUGCAAUUUAGCCGACAUUACUGUUUUCAGAUAAAAUUUGUACAGAAUACAUCCCAUGAAAUUCGCCUAAUAUUUGGGGCCGAGUUCAUGUUGAAAAAUAAUUGUCAUAAGAUUAUAGAACGAAUAGCAUAUUCUUCUUAGACAAGUAAAACUCGAUGGAGUUAUAUUGGAUUGACACAGUUGUAAAGAAGCUGACAAAAACAAAAGUCAGAUGCACGAGUGUUACUAAGACAAUUUAUGGCCAGAUAUGGUAUAUCUGGUAAACACAUGAUCUUUGAGAGAACAACAUAAGUAGGCUGAUGUUGCGCGGGCUACAAAUAUGGAUAACAUAUAUUAAGAACACAAAUUAUCCAUGGAAAUAGAUAACGAAAAGCUCCAUUGCAAACCCCACACUGCCUUUAAAGGUAGAAAGUUACAGCAAGGAGGAAAAUGCUAUAUCUACAACUCUGCUUACAUGAAUAAAAGAAAAAAAAACCAUUACCGAACCACACAAAUGCUAUAACCUGCUACUACAAUAGAAUAAACAAAGAUAGAAAGGACGGGGGGAUAAGAAAGGAAAAGCUGAAAAAAAGAAGAAAAGAAGAAAAGAAGAAGAGUAACUGGAAAUGGUCUUUACAUCAGAUAGAUAAUUUAGAUGUAAAAGAGAGAGAGAGAGAGAGAGAGAGAGAGAGAGAGACAGAGAGAACAUUCAGAAUUUACAGCAAAGAAGUCCCCACCCCCAGCCACGGGACUUCCUAGAAUGCCUGUGCUUUGAUUUCGUCAUUUUCACCGGACUGCUGUUCCACUCGGUCUGUAGUCUGAACAUUUACGAAACAACAAGGAGACAUUCAUUAAUGGAAAUGGGAUAUUAGAUUGCUUGGGACCAAAAAAAAAGUCAUGAUUCUAGUGGGUCUCUCAGCAAAACAAAUACUCAAUAACAUAAACCAAGUACAACCGAUCGUCCCUAGAGCAAGUGACAAAAGGCUUAGUUUUUGGUACCCGAGACCCAAGUUCGAAUCCUAGUUGAUUCACAUUUUCAGCUAAGUUUAUUUCUAAAUGAAAUAAACGAAGCGGAUAGCGUGCUACCUAUCUCUCAAAAAAGCAUAUGACAGUACACUGCUAGUUCCCAUUGUCUUUCCAUAACAGCAGUUUUUAUUGAAUGUCAGCUUCAGUUUUCACUUUCUGAUGAACUAGCAGUGUACUGUUAUGGAAAGACAACUUCCUUUUACUACACAAAACAGUACACGAUUUAAAGAAGAAGAAAAGCAUAUGCAAGCACAAUGCACAACUUAUACUAGCUGGCAAGGAAAUCAUAGAUUUCAUAGUUUAAGUUGAUAUCACAGAAACAUAAAGUAGGUAGUAACAAUGCAGAUCAGAAGCAUAAAAUCAAAAUUUACACAAUAUUCAGAAAACAGUUAUACUUACAUGGGAAAAGCAAAGGAACGAGUACUGGUCGUGCUACUAUCUGACCGAAGAGAAAUGCUACCGGAAUAUGGUAUAUGACCUGAAGAUGCUGUUGGGCCUGAUGAAAUCAUUGGACCAGGCGAGUUGAAAUCCCCACGAUUCUGGUAAACAAAAGUUCUAGCUGAAUUUGUUCCAUCAUCGGUUAUAGCCCCUUCGACAAAAUGAUCAUUUGGAACAGGCCUAGGUUGCCAACUCUCUAUAGCCUUUUCACCAUCAUUUGUGCAAAUCGUCUCCCCUGCUCUUGGGUUAAAAUCACAUGUAUCAAGUCCGUCAAUCUCACAACCAGCAAUGAUCUUCGAAUCUGCACUGUUGGUCGCAAACGGAUUACUGGGCAAACCAUUAGAAGAAUUUUCUUUGGCACAGUCUGCUUGGCUCAAUGUUUGGGCACCAUAAUGUACAGCUGCAUUAAAGCCCUCCUCCAACAUAUUAUUUGAUAUAACACCUAAACUGCCCACUUUUCCGCUGCUUCGACUGGACUCUUUCGUUUCAGAUAUUACACCUACAACAGUAGAAAAGUCCACAAUCAUGUCCUUCGAGAAACCGUUAGAAGGAUUACUGGGCAAACCAUCAAAAGGAUUUUCUUUGGCAUAGUCAGCUUGGCUCAAUGUUUGGGCGCCAGAAUGUACAGCUGCAUUAAAGCCCUCCUCCAACAUAUUAUUUGAUAUAACAUCUAAACCACCCACAUUUGCACUGCUUUGACUGGAUUCUUUCAUUUCAGAUAUUACACCUACAACAGUAGAAUAGUCCACAGUCAUGUCCUCCUUUGUGAAACCAUUAGAAGGAUAACUAGGAAAACCAUCAAAAGGGUUUUCUUUGGCAUAGUCAGCUUGGCUCAAUGUUUGGGCGCCAGAAUGUACAGCUGCAGUAAAGCCCUCCUCUAACACAUUAUUUGAUAUACCAUCUAAACCACCCACAUUUCCGCUGCUUUGACUGGACUCUUUCGUUUCGGAUGUUACACCUACAACAGUAGAAUAGUCCGCAAUCAUGUCCUUUGAGCAACCGUUAAAAAGAUUACUAGGCAAACUAUCAAAAGGAUUUUCUUUGGCAUAGUCAAUUUGGCUCAACGUUUGGGUACCAGAUUGUACAGCUGCAUUAAAGCCCUCCUCCAACAUACUAUUUGAUAUAACAUCUAAACAGCCUACAUUUCCGCUGGACUCUUUCAUUUCAGAUAUUACACCUACAAUAGUAGAGUAGUCCUCAAUCAUGUCCUUCGAGAAACCAUUAACUAGAUUCUCUUUCAUCCAACUGCACUCCUGGAGCUUACUAGUAUCAGAUGGAACUGCUUGGACAGUAGAGCACUCUAAUAAAUCCUGUGAGAAGAAUUGAGAAGCAAAAAUACACCAGCUUUUCCAUUACUACAAAAACACCAAAUUCAGAAUUAAAUAUAAAAAUGGAAUAAGAGAACUUCAAAUUUUCUUUAUGUUGUAAUGGAACAACAUAUAUAGCACCUUCUGUCAAUGCCCUUGUAAGUGUGGAAGUUCAACAAGCUUAUAGAUAAAUUCUCUCCUAACCAAUUUUUUCCAAAAUCAAUGCUCUUGACCAAUUCAAGCACUCAAUCAACAUUUCAAGUGCAAUAAUCAACAGUUCUUACUUAGCAGACAUUGGACAGAACUGUUAUCUACGCUUAGGGACAGAAUACAGAUACGCUUUACCAUUUAAAGCCAUAAAUAUUACAAUACCAAGGUGGUGAAACCAACUCUAAUCAGAUGAUGCAAUUUCCCCUACUUAAAACAGCACAAGUUUUGUGUUCCUCUGCCAACAACAUCUGAUAAAAAAAAAAAGCUUCUUUCUCUAAUUUCAAAUAAUGUUUAGAGAAGGUGGUAUAUUAUGAAAACUUUAAGCCUUGUAGAAAACAAGGAUAUAUUCUGAUGAUUUCAACCAACCAAAAGGCCAAAAAAAAAAAAAAAAAAAAAAAAAAAUCCAAAAUUAUUACUUCCGAAAGGAAAUUAGAACUAGCUAACUCAUAAGUACCUGAUCAAUUGCUCGUGCAUCAACAGAUUGCUCAUGAUCAUUGCUGGAGAUAAAACUAUCUUGAAACACUUUCUGAGGUUCCUCAAUACAAUCUUUAGGAGGGAUUAAUUGUUGUGAACUGAUCGGCUCAUGAAAUCUAUCACCUACAAUCUGCUCUGCCAUAUUCAUCUGGUCUCUGACACCAUAUGAACUCUCAGGAAAAGGUUGCUUUUCAGUAUCCUUGUCAAUAACACAAAUAAGGGGCUCACAGACUGUUCUUGAUUUUGAAUCAUGUGCAAUUGCUGUAGCCAUUUCUUCACUCUGACCUUCUUUUACAGUCCCUACAGAGUAAUAAAUUCCUGAGGAAGUCUUAUGUUCCACUUCAUUGUCUAUUAAUUUCUUGUCAACCGACCGUACUAGUUCAUCCACACAUAUGUCCUUGACAAUAUGAGGAUCUGGCAAAUGGAUCUCUGUAACAGUUUUUUCAGCUGAUAAGUCCUUUUUGCCUACCAGUCCAUUAGUAUCUGUGCAAAUUGGUUGUUGUUCAAUAUCACUCUGAAUCCUGUUAUCUGAAUUCCUGAGGGCAAGAUAUGUACGUUGUGAUGUAUUUGUGUGUUCGCCCAAGAUUUUCUCGACUGAUGAUAAAUGCCCAUGCUUCUCGUUCCACACAACUUCUUUCUCUACUUUAAACAUAUCAAUAGUCAAAUUCUCCUCAUUAGGUCUGAUCACUUUUGAGGCAAUCUGAUCAGCAAAAUUAUGAUUGGAGGGUUGCUCUCCAUCUGCAUGAAAAAAGCCAUAACAGUUAAUCUUGAAAGAGAUGAUGAUCGAACUAAGAUGAUUAUAUUUGCUAUAUAUUAUUUCCAAGUUAUGCACUGAUCAAAAAAAUAAAUAAAAUUAUGCAAAGAUGUUUCACAUAUAUGAUUAUGCAAAGAUGUUACAUACCCUUAUAUAUGCGAAUACAUAUUAAUUUCCUCCAGCCGGCACAGGGUGCCGGCUGCAACUAUGAAUUAAAUAUACAAACUGAAUAUGUAGUAGCAGGAAACAAACUCGUAGUACCUAAUCUCAUCGUAUCUAGGGCGUAGGUCAAUGCAUUGUCAACUAUAAAUCCCUACGCAGACAAAUUUGAGCUGCAUCCUGCAACAAGGAAUGGGAAGUCAAUCUUCCAAACGAAAGUUCGCUGCAAAGGAGACAAAAUUAACCAAAUUCAUAGCAAUGUACUCUAUGAACAAAAGUGCCAAACAAUGUAGUCUUCACAGAAUAAGUUUUGUUCACUCACAACUGAUUCUAUGCAUUUAUAACAAUAUAAAAUACCACAAAUGACAAGGCUAACAAGCAAACUUAGACCGCGGAGCAAAUUAAGCUAUCUAGCUUAGCAAAACUUAGACAGCAAAGAGAUAAACAGAAGAAGAAUUUUUAGUAGUAUAAUAUAAAGUAUGAUCUGAGAGCUAUAACUUGUCCAAAGUGAAAUAACUUGAAUGGAAUAGAAUGAAAUAUUCAGAUAUUGUUUUCUGACAACGAAAAUCUAGACAAUGUAAAAGCAAGGAAAACCAAUUUCAAAAUUCUGAAAAAGGGCAGAGGGUGGUGAUUUGUUGGCCAUUACAUUAUCCUUUGUCGGUAACAAGCUAUGUUACCAUGUAGAAAUCCAUUCAAGCUCACAACAAAUCUUUUCCAACCCUCACUAUAAAUUACAACAACAUGACAUAUGUAGGGAACAGCUGAACUAAAUGCACACCCACUUUUGGAAUAAAUUAAGUGAGAAGCAUUGUUAAGUACCAAGAAUGAAAGUGACAUCGAACGAAAAAGGGAAGCUAACUUGAUGAAAAACCAACUACCCACAUGAACUGCCACCAGAAAUUUUAGAAAUUCCAGCUUGAAAAAACAGAGUUGGUUGUCAAAUUUAUUACACUCAUUUCCACCAAAAAUAAAAAAGAAAAAAAGAAAAAAGCAUCAUCUUCAAAAUACUGAGCUGAUAAAGGCAUUGAAGCACGUGGCUGGAAAAGGGCAGAAGUUCAGAUCACAUAUGAUCUAAUCUAAACUACUGUCAUCUUCUUUCUCUUUGUUUCUUCUUAAAAGUCUAAACUACUUUCAUCUCAACAUACAAAAUGGAUUAGGCCUAAAAUAAUGCUUGCAUAAUUAGCUAGAAAACACGAGAAAAGAAUGAAAUGAUGGUUCUAUUUGAGAACGAAAUUAUAUCUAUUAGAAAUUAAAAUAGCUGAUAUUCAUGUUGUCUACGGUCACAAUGCAUAACUCUUUCUGCGUAGAAAAAACAGAGAAAAAAAAAAGAGAGUUAUCUUUAAUUAAUCAAUAUAAAGAGUAUGAAGGAUUCAGCAUAUGGAUCAGACCCAACUUCUCAAACCUCUAUAGUAUGACAGAAUUAAAGAAAAAAAAAAGGAUAACAAAAAUGAAUAAANCAAAAAAAAAAAACACCAUUGGAAUCUCCCACCCAAACCCCAAAACCCCUUAUAUCCAACACCAUAUCCAACCCAAUUCAAAUACCCAAAGAGAUGAAAAAUACAGCAAAUAAUCAAAAACUACCACAAAAAAGUAUCCAAAAAAGGGCACAGGAAACAACAUACCGCAUCCGAAUCUUCUCUCAUCUCCCCCAAAGCCCGAAGCCCAUUUGCCUCCUGCAGGAAACAAGAUCAGAAACCGAAGUUCUGUGCCCAAAGAAUCCAAACCGAAGCAUACCCACAUACUAAAAUAACAAAUAAAAUACACUAAAAAAAAAAACCCAAAAAUCGAGACCUUGGAUCUCAUAAAGAUGGAGCUCAAAAGGCACCCGUGUUUGUAAUUAAUACAUUCAUGGCCAGAGUGUGUUUAAGUAGAUAGAUUAAAAAGCACGGUGUGUAGAGAGAGAAAGAGGAGGCGGUGGUGGUGUUUUCGUGGUGGUGGUGGUGGUGGGAAUAAAGAAAUAAUGACCUCAACAAAGAUCGGCUUUUUAGCGAGCGAGUCAAAUGAGAGAGGGCAUUAAAUACUCAUUACGCGAAGUCGCUGGGCUCUCUCUUUCUCUCACCUCCCCAACAACAUGAAAAAAAAAAAAAAAAAAGUAGAGAGAGAAACACACAUUAAAUUACCUCCACAGAGACUUAAAUUUGGUGAACGGAUCCUUUUGACAAGCGCACAGAGCGACAGUGAGAGAGAGAGGUUGCUAUUUGGGGUUGUGGAGGAGAUGUUAGGGUUAGGGUUAGGGUUUUGGGGAAGAGGAUGGUGAUCUAAUAAUGGCCUGUUUCCUGAAACGAACGGAAAAAUUAAUUGGGAACAAGGGGAAUUCAAAAACCAAUUGAAAAACGGGGAAUUAUAGAAAUUUUCCAAAAUUUACACCGCUGUGAUCUAAAAAAAAUUAGAAACUGAAACCUAAAAUUUUCGAGUAAGCAAUCCUUUUCAAAAAAUAAAAAAUUAGUUUAAACAAUAAAAGCAAUUCGUUGUCUCUGAUACUACGAAUGUCAUUUUAUGGUACACUAUCAUCAUCAGAUCAUUAAUUAUAAACAUCACGGGGGUAGAAAAAGAUCGCUUGCAUUUCCGAGCACAAAUCAUAAUAUAUCAUAUCACUACCAAAAAACAAAAAAACAAAAACAAGAAAAAGGACAAACAUGUUUUUUUUUGGAUCCUGAAUCACCACAGGAAACAAAAAAAAAAAAAAAGUACAUAAAAACAACUCCAUUUUUCGUUGCCGAAUUCGCGGACCGAUCCAAACAACUCGCUCAAACUAAUAAACAAAAAAUUAGGAGUUAAAUUAUUAGUACUUUUAUUAUUAUUAUUAUUUCCCCUAAAAUGGUGGGAGAAAAAUUGUAAGUGGGUUUACUAGUAGUUAGAGAUCUCCUAUUUGAGUGGGAAUUAUUAUUAUUAUUAUUAUUAUUUUGUGAGAGAGAAUAGUGGGAGAAAUAAUUAUGAUGCGAACAAAAUGAGUAGUCAACUAAUUUAUUUAUUUAUUAGGUUAUGAUUUUUUUUAUUUUUUUUUGGACAAUUAUUAUUUUACUGACUCUUCGAUUUGACUUGCGAUGCCAGCUGGCGUGUGCACGCGUGCUGUAACAUGCAUUCAGUUUUUAUUUAUUUAUUUUUUUUAUUUAUUUUUUUUUUUUACGCUGUUUCUCUGGAAGGAACUUCCUGCAAUUCUCUACAUCUUACUAAUAUUACCGUUAAAAAAUCUUUUAAAAAUAAUUGUUGGGUGAGAGAGAUGUAAAUAUUUUAUUACCAUUUUUUUAAUAAAUGAUAUAUUGAUCGUCUAAGAUGGAACCGACGAGGGAAUUUAAAUGGAUCCCACCGCGUAGAAAAUUUGCCUUCGAACUUGUUUGGAUUUUCUUUCGAAAGUGCUGUCUCUUAGCUAAAGAAAUUAUUACUAGCAUAUUAUUUACUGAUCCUCUACUUCACCUCAUAUCUUAAUUCAUAUCGCCUGCUUAGAUGGAUAUAUAUAUAGUGAAGUUAUUAUAUUAUCGGAAGUAUAAAAUAGUUAGUGCUUUCGAUUUUUAGUUCUUAGAUCAACCUCAUAGAUUAUUUCUAAUCAUUGGAUUGAUAUUAUUAAUCAAUGGAGACCACUCAACACUAGGGGGACCGCUCAACCCUAAGACCCCGUUUGGUUGGGCGGAAUAGCGGGGAUAACCCAAACGGGGUGAAAUUUAGCCGGGAUAUUUUAUUCCGAUCAAAUCUUGCUAUUCCCGGUUAUUCCGGAAUAGUCAGGGAUUUGCUAUUCCACCAUUUUGGUGGAAUAACACUAUUCCAAUGCUUAAUUUCAAACUUAAUUAAAAUUAUAAAUUAAAUUAAAACUAAAUUAUAUAAUAUAAUAUGUUAUAUAUUAUAAUACAUUAUUUUUAUUAUAAAAUUAUUAAUUGUACUAUAUUAAUACAUAUUAUUUAUAUUUAAAUAUUAUAAUAAAAUUUAUAGUAAAUUGUAUUUAAAUAUUAUAAUAAAUUCUUUUUAUUAAAUUUAAGUUUAAGUAGAAUUUUAAAAAAAUUUAUAAAUUUAUUAUAAUAAAUUAUUUUUAUUAAUUGUUCCCACCCCUAUUCUUAUUUUAAAAAUUUAAAAAUUAAAAAUUUAAAUUUUUAAAAUUUAUAAUUUAUAAUCUCAAAAUUAAAGUUUAUAAUUUUAAAUUUUAAAUUUUAAAAUUAAAUUUUGAUAUUUUAAUUUUGAAAUUUAAAAUUUUAUAUUUUAUAUUUUUCAAAUUUAAAUUUGAUCUUAAAUUUAAAGUUUGAAAUUUAAAAUUUAAAAUUUUGAAUUUAAAAUUUGAGAUUUUAAAUUUCAAAAUUUAAAAUUUCAAAGUUAAAAUUUUAAAUUUAAAAAUAUAUAUUUAAAAAUUUAAAAAUUUAAAUUUAAAUAUAAUAAGAGGAUAAUAUGAUUAUUUUUUAUUUAUAAAACCCACUAUCUUUCUUAUUCCAUCUUACCUAACCAAACGCUAUUUUUUUUAUUCCCAGGAAUAACCCAAUUUUCAUCCAAACGCAAAAUUGAUCUAAUCCCCGCUUAUACCUCAAUUUAUACCUAUCCCUGGAAUAGCCUUGCUUAUCCUCGAACCAAACGAUACCUUAGAGGGGACCGCUAUCAUCCCAACCGUAGAAUCUUUAAUCCAAGAGCUAAAAAAUCGGAAGCACCAACUAUUUUAUACUUUCGAUAAUAUAGUAACUCUACACUAUAUAUAUAUAUAUAUAUAUAUAUAUAUUAUAUAUGAAAGAGGAAUAGAUGGUCUAUGGUGUAUGAACCACGGUCCAGGCAAUAAUUCUGAUAAUGACGAUAGGAAGGGAAAUGAUGACGUGGAGCGCAUAACUAAAAGAGCGGCCUCGUAUGUUGCAGCCGUGCGGUUUUUGUCAGUUAGAGAUAGAAAGAGAAGGGCUCAAAGUGUUGUUGCAGGUGAAAUUAUUACUCGUAGCUGUUGUAUCCGUACGUCUCAUGCACCGCCACCUUCUGAAACCCUCAUCUGGGUGGAGGAAACACCGUUGAGCACAGUGUUUUCAGGAAUUUUUGCUUCGAUCAGGAACAAGGGGGCGCGCAACUCCCAAUGCUGGAACCCACACGGAUGGAGAUGGCGCUUCAUGUGUAGAGAUUAUGUGGCUUCUGCCUCCUCCGAAAAUAGAAGACAAAUGGGGCUGCUAAAGGACCUACUACUCCACCACAACCCAAGAAGUGGACCUGACUCGCUUAAAUGGAGAUGGACCUCACAUCAAAAGUUCACUGUCAACUCUCUCUAUAAAUUCAUCACUUAUGCAGGCCAAUCAGACCCGUCAACCAGCAGCUUUGGAAACUAAAAAUCCCCGUUAAAAUCAAAAUAUUCGUUUGGUUGCUACUUCACAAGAGGUUGCUCACGGCUGACAGACUGAUCAAUCGUGGAAUCCAAGCUGAACCCUAUUGCGUCUUCUGUGCAUUUUCCUACGAGUGUUGCGAUCACCUUUUUAGCGAUUGCGUCUUCGCACGUUUUCUCCUACUCCGUCCUGCAGGGAUAUCCAGCGGUGUCGCGAGUGUGGACAUUCGAGAUCGCUGGAACUCUCUAUCUCUUAUUCUGGAUGCCAUCGCAAGAGUUAAAGGAUUAACCAAGCUAGCGGCUACCUGGUGGGUUGUCUGGACCGAGCGAAACAACUUUGCCUUCUCUUCGACUCUUCCGAGCGUUGUUAGAGCCUUGGAUAGAGGCUCAUCCCUAUCCAACUCCUGGAUCUCGCUCCUGUAAUCCUGUAACGUUGCCGUUUACUGUCUUCCCCCUCUCUCCCCCUGACUCCUCUUCUCGUCUUUGUUUUGUCUCCUUAUUUCCUUUUAUGUACCUACCUUCUGUUCUUUCUAUAGGAAGCCUAAGCUGCUUCCACCUUGUACGCUUAGUUCAUUGCUCUUAGUGAAUGAAGCAGGUAGCGUGCUACCUUUUUCUCAAAAAAAAAUUGUAUUGCUGCGGACCCCCACAAAAAUAUUAUACUAUCUAAAAUAUUAUAAUUAAAUUAGUCUUUAGGCUCUGCUCGCGAUAGCGAAAAGAUUGUAUUACAUACGAUAAAAUAAUAUGAUAAAAAAUACUCUAUACACUGAAUUAUAGUUAUUUAUGCUUUCGUUCCAAUUUUAUAUUAUCUUAGUAGCAUUAAAUUAGCGUAAACAACAAGUGACUUUUUAAUAAUUUCGCUUGUUUAUAUGAUGAAUAUUGGAUGAAUCAUAUUAUGUUAUGCAGUAUAGAAAGCUUGUAACUAAUUCUAGUACUAUAUUUACCUAAAAUAAAUUAUGAUCGAUUAAUCUUAACGGUAUAUGUUGUUUUCGGUUAAGGAAAAAAAAAGGUGGAGCAACAACGGAUAGCAGGUGGACAAAAUUAGUGAGGAGAAUAGGCACCCCACCGAAUAAACAGGUGGGUGCAGGUUAAGAACCUUCUUUUAUAGAAACUAUACUAUAUGCUAAGACUUUGAAAUAAUAAUAAUAUAUAAUAGAGUGAGCUGGUAUUCUUCUGAAAGCACGGGACCUUCUAUACUUUCAAGUCGUUUUCGAUAUUGGAACUUUCGAAUGGACGAUCGGCUCCAUUAAACUUGAUCUAGAGUAUUUGAAGUAUCUAGAAAAUAAAUUUUAUGAUUUUUCGAUAUCAUUUGCCUAGCGAUCGAAGGGGCUCAAAAUCAAUAAUUUUAAUGGCCGCGGUUAACCGUUUGCAAGUUUAACGGUGUAGAAAUAUUCAAAUCACGUGAAAUUUUGAUAGAAAACUUUUUAUACUAUAUAAACAAGAUCAAUAUUUUUUAUCUAAAAUUUUAAUGUCAUAUCAUCAUAUUUUGCAAGAUUUUUAUUUUCAACCGUUGAUUUUGAGCCACUUCGAUCACUAGGCAAAUGAUAUCGAAAAAUUCCAUAAAAUUUAUUUUCUUGAGAUACCAUAAGGAAUACUCUAAAUCAAGUCUGAAGAGCUGAUCGUCAAUUCGAAAGUCCCAAUUUAUCAAAAAUAAUUUAGGAGAACGAAAGUGCCCGACUUCCAGAGUAUACAGGGCCGCCUCUAUAUACAUCAUCUAGUAGUAUAUAUGACCUCAGUUUGGCGACAGGUAGCGGCGAGCGGGCGGCGGUGGGGACAAGCGGGAACGAGCGCGGGGCGCGGGCAGGCGCCGUUUCUGGGCGGGCCAGCGGGCGCCGUGUCGGUCGAGCGACUUGAGCAGCGGGCGCGGUGGGCGAGCGGGCGCGCCGCGGGGCGCCGCGUUGGCGCGGUAGAGGAUAGGAAACGAAGAGGCGGGGCGCGCGUGGCGGUGCCGAGUUGGUGCGGGCGGCGAGCACCGGGCAGCGGCGCGCAGGGGAGGACGCCGCGUGCGCGAGUGAGAGGAGCGGCGAGGAGGAGAGGGUGGGGCCCAGCCGACGCGGACAGGAAGGGAUAGCGAGGGAUUUUUUUUUUUUUUUGUCUCUUCUUUUUUGUCUCUUUAUUAAUUUUUUGUCUUUAAUUUUUUAUAUAUUUUGUUGUCUUAAUAUAUUGAUUUAAAUAAAAAUGUUAUAAAAUUUUAAUUCAAUCAAAAUUUUUAUUUCAUUUUUAUAAAAAUAUAAAUAUAUAAAAUAAUUUUUAAAUUAGUUAAAUUAUUUGUAUUAAAUAUAAAUAUUUUAAGCUGAAUAAAAAGAAGAUUAUUAAAAUAUAUAAAAAAAGCGAAGGAAAUUUAAAAAUUGAAACACUAAAAAAAUAAAAGAAAUAAAAAUAAAAGGCAUAGCAUAGAUAAAAGAAGAAUAGAGGCAAAAAUGUAAGAACAAUAAAUUAUUUUUUCUAAAAAUUAUAUAUAAUUAUACUAAUAAUUAUAAUAUAUAUAAUUAUAAAUAUAAUUAUAUAUAAUUUCUUAUUUGUAUGAUUUUUACCUUUAUUUUUUUUAAUCUUUCUUAUAAUUUAUUUUUAUAUUUUUAUUACAGCAAUAGUUGUUUAUUUUUUAGUUAUUUUUUUAUAUAAUUUUUUCACUCUUUUUUUAUUAUUAUUUAUUUUAUUUAUAUAUUUAUUUUUACGGAAUCAGCCCGUCGCAACGCGCGGGUCCUUCACUGGUACAACAAUAAUAAUAACACAAGAUGUAGAAUUCUUGUGAACCAACAUGUUCAAUGCACAUGUGAUAGGCUCUUUUCUUUUUUCCGUAUGAUGGGUACUGUGCAUUCAACCAGUUCUAAGGAUAUGAAAAUCAUUAAUCGAGCACACACUCCCAGAAAUGAUAUCUCACUCACAUUCGUACUCGCAUUACAUGUACCGCAUUUAUAUAUUUACUCAUUUAUUAGUCCGCGGGUCCGCGAGUGCAUUUAUUCGGUCGAAUAAAAUAAUGCGAAGUAAAAUUGUGAAGAGGAUCAUUGAUUGCUUAUGUUGUAUAAUAUUGUUUCGCAGUGUCCAUUUGACUCUGGAUCAAUUUGGGCUCGAUCUGGGCUUCAAUUAUGGCCCAAUUGUGAAAAUAAAAUACACUAGCUUUUGAAAUUAGCAAAAUGAGGAGAUAAUAAAGUUCAAAACAAAGAGGUUUAUGAAGUGACUUGAAUAUAAUAUCAAAUUGUCCAUCCAACGGCCCAUAGUCAUGUAAACAAACCGCACCGACCGUUGGCGCCGCUCGGUGCGGUGCGCCACGAACCACAAACACACCCUCGCUUUUCCCGCCUUUCAAACCCCGCAACAUUCGCGCCAUUUCCGACUAUAUAGACUCCACUCCUCGCCCUUCUUUCAAUCGCCCCAACCAAAAAUAAAUCAAUCAAAUAAAAAUAAAACCAAACCCCAUUAUCGUUACCAUCCUCUGCUUCAUCUCCUCCCACCCUUUUUAUUCCUACCAAUCGAGGAAGAUGCAUCGCGCCGUCGCCCUCGUCUUCCUCCUCCUCGCCGCCGCCGUCUCCGCCCAAUCCCCCGCGGCCUCCCCGAAGCCGUCCCACGCGCCGUCCAAAUCGCCCGCCAAGGCGCCCGCCGCCGCCGCCACCCCCGCCCCCGCCAAAGCCCCCGCCGCAGCGGCUCCGGCUAAGCACGCGCCUGCCACGGCCCCUGCCACAGCCCCUGCCACGGCCCCCGCCUCGGCGGAGGCUCCUGCAUCCGAAAAGGCGCCCGCCGCCGCUCCCUCCGACGCCGCCUCCUCCUCGCCUGCGGUGUCUCCUGCUCCCGGGUCCGAGUCGAGCGACAUCCCCAGCGACGGGCCCGCCGCCGACGGACCGGAGCUGGCCAGCCCCCCCAGCCCAACUGAGGGGUUGACGGCCGACGCUCCCGCGGUGUCCCCCGGCCCGGACGCGAGCGACAAGGGCGCGGCGACGAGAGUCGGGGCCGCCUUCGGUGGCGUCGUGGCCGCGGCUUUGGUGGCCGUCGCCGCUUUUUAAAUCCAACGGCGCUUGGCUUGAAAUUGUGAAUCAUUUGGUGAAUCAAAAAUUAAUUUUCCAUCCACGGGAGGGACGCGGCCGCGUUUUCCUUUGUUUGGAUUGAGACAUCUUUUGAUUUGAUCUGUAAUUUGGAUGGGGUCACCUGAUUAAUGAGAUCAUUUUCUUUGCAUGUUUGCCUCUUAUUAUUAUUAUUAUUAUUAUUAUUAUUAUUGUUAUUAUUAUAAUUUUGUACAAAUUAUUAAGUUUCUGUAGAUCACAUUUAUUAAACUAUAUGCGGAAUUUUCACUUACAAGUUUACCGACCAAAAUAUUAGAUUAAACUGUACGUCGAAUGCAGAUGGAUAAUUCAAAUAAAAGGAAAAGUCUUGUGACGCUCGCAGUGGUCCGAUGGCUCUUAUGGUUGGCGAGAAAUAACAGAAUGUUUCAGAUUGAAAAACAAUAUAGUUAUCGCACCCUAAGCGAAAUCUGUAAAUUAAAACAGCUUUGAAAAGAUCACUGUAAAUAAAGUCAAUUGAAAGUAGUUGAAGGUAGUUGAUAUAUUACAAUUCACAACCUAUAGAUUUUAUUUUUAUUUUUGGANGGGGGGGGGGAGGGCAUACUACAUUCUUUUUUAAAAAAUAUAUUAGAUUAAAAAUGCAAGAAAUACGAGGGUAUUUUGAGGCGGGGCAUACUACAUUCUUUUUAAAAAAAUAUAUUAGAUUAAAAAUGCAAGAAAUACGACACGAGGACACUUUGUUUGGAAGGAGUGUGAAAAAAAAAAAGUUAAGAGAGAAAAUUUUUCUAUCCAACCAAUAGAGUAACAUGAGAAAGAAAAGGAAAAAAGUAAAAGGAAAGAGAGAUAUAAGAAGAAAAAAAUCUCCCAUUAAUCUCGUUUCUUUCCAAAAAUACAGAGAACUUUAUUAUUAUUCUUACUUUAUUCUAAACGUGGAUAGAAAAGGAAAGAAUAACAAUUUUCCCUACUUUUUCUUUCACUCAACAAAACAACAGCACAAUCGACCGUCUCUAAAACAAGUGGCAAAGGGUUUGGUGAUUGGUACUCAAGACCUAAGUUCGAAUCUUAGUUGAUUCACAUUUUCAACUAAGUUUAUUUCUAAAUGAAAUAAACGAAGUGGAUAGCGUGCUAUCUAUCUCUCUCUCUCUCUCUCUCAAAAAAAAAAAAAAAA